AAGCAUUUAAGAAUAUAAUUCAAGUUACACGAACUUACCUCGAUACUUGUUUGUAUACAAAAAGUCUACUAAUCCCAAACUUUUUCUUUUCCUCGAUCUAGCUUCUUAUUUGAAUUUUUUGGAUUUAAAUAAAUAACUUUAAUCAUUAAUUUAAUAUAUUUCAUGUUCAUAUGUAACAUUCUCUAUAAUUCCAUUAUUAUUUAUAAUUCAUUCAGAGCUGUCUCUAAGGAGUCAUAGUCACUAAAUUAUUUAUAUCUUGAACUACGGAACUCCAAAUUAAGAUCCGCUUGAUUUUUCCAAAACUAAACUCACAUAUCUUCUUACCAUAAAAUUUUCAGAAUUUAUGGUUUAGUCAAUAAGUACAGUUAAUUCUUUAAAGUCAUCCCUGUUAUGCUGUCUGACAUUUUCGACCCUUCUUCACUAAAAAAUUAUUUUCUCCUAGUACGGGAUUCAAAUUAUGUUCCUGUUUGUUUCUAUUGAAAAUAUAAUCAUUAUUAAUUUUAAACAUAUAAAUUUAAGCCCUUAAUUAUUUUUAUCCAAUUUUUGAUGAUUUUCCAAAGUCAGAACAGGGGAACCCGAAUUCAUUCUGACCUUGUCUCACAAAAUUUAUUAUAUCUCAUGAUUUAUAAUUCCAUUGAUUGCACCGUUUCUUCUAUGAGAAACUAGACUCAAUAGGCUUUAAUUCCAUAUUUUUUUCAUCAACUAAUUCGAUUUUUACAAUUUAUGGUGAUUUUUUCAAAGUUAUCCUAUUGUUGCUGUCCAAAACUGUUUUAGUGUAAGAUGUUGAUUACCAUUUUUCCCCUAAGCUUUCAAUAAAUGAUAAUUUCGUCCCUGCUCAAUUAACCUCUUAAUUGAGCUGAUUUUUCUCAAUUAACACUUUAUUCUAUACUUUGAAAUCUACCCUGAAUGGACUCAACAGAAAGAACACAAUUUGUCUCUACGAUAACAUUUAUUCAUUUUGCUUCCCAUGUAAAUUAAAGACCAUCAUAGAUAACCCAUAAUUCAACUUACUUAAUGUUACAUCUCCCAAUAUUUCUUCCGAUUCUUCAAAACCAAUAAGUUUUAAUACUAUUAAAAUUAGAUAUCUUAAUAUAAAUUUUUAACCCAUGAAAUAAAAUAGAUUUAAAUAAUCAACCUCUAAAAAUUAUCUAUAUGCUGUCAAUACUAUAAUGCCUGAGUGUAUUUUGUUCAGUUCAAUUUUGGAUUUACACUGAAAUUAAUUGAAUCCAACCAAAUUCAUUUUUUAUGUUUAAUUUAUAUUAAGCUUUUCUUCUAUAAUAAUAUGAAAACAAAUAUUUUAUAUUUAAACCACGAUAAAUUAAAUAUUAAAUAUUACAAAAUUAUAUUCAAAAAAAUGUUUAGUAAAUUAAUAAAAAUUAAGUAUGAAAUAUAAUUAUAUUUUUCGGAUAAAUGUAAAAGUUGAUUUUCAAAAUGUUAUUUAUUUUUUAGUUUUAACCUUUUUAAUAUAAUAUUUCAUAUUAUUUUGGAUAAUCUUGAAAAAUAUUAAAAAUAUAAUUUUAAUAUCUCAUUUUUAAUAACUUAAGUACCUACCUACUUAUUUUAAUUAAUAUUUUUUUGAAGAAAUGGUAUAAUUAAUCACUUAAUUAUUGCUGUGUUUUUAUUUUUAUCAUAAAAAUAUUAAAAAUAAAUUGUGACAUAUUGAAUCGGGUUGAAGUAAGAUAUAGCUUUGACUUUUCGGGUGUUAUUAAAAGGCACUAAAUGAAGCAUACAAUUAAAGUAAAAAUCGAAUCACAGGUAGGGCCGUCCCUCUUGGAAAAAUUUUCAUUUAAGCCUUUAGAGUUUAUAAAAUUUUAAAUUAGUAAUGAUAAAAUUAUACUUUGACUCUUCAAAAAUAAUAAAAAAUUGAUUUAAUAUUUAAAAAAUAUAAAAAUAUAGAUGGUUAAAAUAAUAAAAUUAUAUUUUUUAUACUAUCGUAAAAUUAUAUAAUUUGAUUCCACCCAAAAAAUUUUUGAGAUCAAAUAAAAUCUAGAGAAUGUGGAAAAAAAUCCCAAGUAAGAGCAGGGAAAGGUAAUUUAUUUUUUGGAAUUAAAAUUAAAAUUUAAGUUUUCAUAUUAAGAAUACAAUUUAGGUGGUGUCUUAUUAUCGCAUCUAAUACUUAUCUAAAUAUUCAAAUAAGAAAUAUCAAAUAAAAAUAAUUAGGGUAAACUAUUAAAAUAGUCACUUUUGUUUACCUCAGAUUACAUUUUAAUCACUGAGCUGUAAAUUGCCAUUAAUGGUGUAACGAUAAGCUGGCGUGGCACGUUAAAUCAUCAUUUCAAACAAAAAUGUUAAGUUAAAUUAUAUAGUUUAAAUUUUUUCCUUUUAUUUCUUUAUUUUUCUUUUCUUCUUCCCCUUUAGUUUUGGCAAGUGGAACACAUAGAAAAAAACAUGUUAAAAAAGAUGAAGAAGGGAGGAAAACAAAGGGAGAAGCAGAAGAGAAUAAAAAAAAAAGAAAAAAAAAGGAAAGUUAAAAGAACAAAAAAAAGUUAAAUUACUCAAAAUGAAAAAAAUAUGGGGACCAAUUGUAUAAUUUAACUUAAAAUUUUAUUUGAAAUGAUGAUUUAACGUGCCACGUCAGCUUACUAUUACACCAUUAAAUAUAUCAAAAAUAUCAAUCAACGGCUCAAUAACUAAAAUGUUACAACACGCUAAUGUAAGUGACUAAAACGUAAAGUAACUAAAAUGUAAUAUGAAGUAAAUAAAAGUGACUAAUUUGAUAGUUUACCCAAAGUUGGAUUGUAGCAAAUUAAAGACAUAUUUUAGAAAUUUACGCAUUAAAAAUAUUUAAAUUUUGACUUGAAACUAAAUUAGAUGGGUGUGAACAGAAAUUACAACUUGGUUCCUGUUAGAUAAUUAUACUGGGCAAGCAAAUGUGGCCACUUAGCUACCAACUCCAACCUUUCUGCAUCUUUUUCCUGCUUUUGAUGCAAAGCUAGUUACCUAAAGUCAUGUUUUCUCUUUGAACCAAAUCGCCCUUAUAUACACCCAUUGGCCUCUUUGAAAGCUCUCACCAUAACAGCGUUUUCUCUUCCUAUUUCAGCUGUUUCCAGUUCAACUAUUCGAAAGUAAAAAAAUGGACGGAAAAACAAAAAACAUUAUGGUUUGUUCUAUAAUAGUCAUUACUCUUCUAGCCCUUGGCCUUGCUUCAAAUAUAAUUGGAGGAUACCUGUACCCUCAGUUUUACGAUCAUUCAUGUCCCAGAGCUCAAGAGAUAGUGAGAAACGUUGUUGCCAAAGCUGUUGCAAAGGAACCUCGUAUGGCUGCUUCAUUGCUUAGGCUACACUUCCACGAUUGCUUUGUUAAGGUAACUUAUUCAACCUCACCAAACCAAUAGCGUAGUGUCGAAUACGAGACUAGUGUGUCUAAUAUGGAUAUAUUCAAUUCAUUGUUUUCAGGGCUGUGAUGCAUCGAUUUUGUUAGACAGCGGCGGGAGCAUUAUCAGCGAAAAGAAGUCGAAUUCAAACAGGAACUCAGCCAGAGGAUUCGAAGUGAUGGAUGAAAUCAAAGCUGUAAUAGAGAAAGAGUGCCCUCAUACUGUGUCAUGUGCUGACAUCUUGGCUCUAGCUGCUAGAGACUCAACUGUUCUCGUAUGUUGUUUUUUAUCAGAGUUUUGUCUUGUCAUUGAAAUUGACCCCAUGGUAACAUGCUUUUUUGGAAUUGCAGACAGGUGGCCCUAGCUGGGAAGUCCCACUUGGAAGAAGGGACUCCAGAGGUGCAAGCUUGAGUUGCUCUAACAACAACGUCCCUGCUCCAAACAACACAUUCCAAACAAUUCUCACCAAGUUUAAGCUACAAGGUCUAGACAUUGUUGAUCUUGUUGCACUUUCUGGUAAGCUAUAUAGUUCUUUCACAUUCUGUAAAUGACCAAGAAGGCAAAACUCUGAAAAUAUAUAUCAUGCAGGGAGCCACACAAUAGGAUUUGCCCGAUGCACCAGGUUCAGGGAGAGACUUUACAACCAGUCAGGCAAUGGAAAACCAGACAACACACUUGACCAAUCCUAUGCUUCUCAACUGCGCAGGAACUGUCCAAGAUCAGGCGGCGACCAGAACCAAUUUUUCUUAGAUUUUGUUAGCCCCAUAAAGUUCGACAACAGCUACUUCAAGAACUUGAUGGCUAACAAGGGACUGUUGAACUCUGACCAAGUUUUGUUCACAAAGAAUGGUGAAUCAAGGGAGUUAGUGAAGACAUAUGCUUAUAACCAGGAACUCUUCUUUCAGCAAUUCGCUAAGUCCAUGAUUAAGAUGGGGAAUAUUUCACCGUUGACAGGGUACAGGGGUGAGAUCAGACAGGAUUGCAGGAAAAUUAAUGCUUAAAAUCAUGAAGUCAUACUUAUAUGAAUAAAGUUUGUACCCCUGAUUGUUAUGUUAUUUUGAUUUCCUUGUUUUGAAUUAAUUAAUAAAAGAAUUUCAUAUGUGUGUGCUGGGCUAACGAUUGUCCCUUUCUUUGUUCCCUGUUGCUGUUUGGGGGAGUCCCAAAAGGAUGGGUUAAUUUGUGAGGAGUUGUCAAAUCACUCAGUGUAAGAUCUAUGAACUUAUUAUAUAUUAUAUACAAACUACUGGUUUGGUCACUGAACAGAGGCAGACUGGUAGCUUAGGAGGCCUUGGUCACUCAAAAUUUUAGGAGAAUUUGAUUUCUCGUUUUAGAAAGUUUUAGUUAGUCUUUUAAAGUUAUUAAAAAUUUUCAUUUCUCUUUUUAAGCUUUUAAAAGAUUUUACUUAGACUCUUUUUAAUAUUUUGAAAACUCACAUUAUAUCUUUAAAUUUUUAAAAAAAAUCAAUUAAACAUUUUAAAAAUUCUUAUUAAUUUUACAAAAAAAUUUAAUUAAAUCCCAAUUUUUAUUUAAAAUUUUCUCAUUCAACUCUUAAAAUUUUGAAAAGUUUUACUAAACUCCCCCGAAACUUAAAAACUUAAUCUUGGGAUUCAUCAGGGUCAUUAAAAGAAGUAUUAUACAAACUCUUGAUUAAAUUUUUUAAUACAAAAAAAUAAAUAUACUAUAUAUUAAAAUUUAAAAUAUAUGUAUUUUUAAAUAAUUGCACGUGUCAAAGAAGCAUUGACUCAAUCUUAAAGUUGAGACUUGAAAAAUUUUUAACAAGACUCGGCAAUUCUUUUUGGAAUAAAUCAGCCAAUGGCAAUUUCAUUUAAUCAAUGGGAUAAAACAUCGUUAAAAACAAUAUCAUCGGUCCUACUAAACUUAAACCUAACAUCAUUGGUUGUACGUAAGCCUACGCAGAUCAAGUUAUGCAUGUUUGAGAUUUUCAAUUUUGGGGAUCCGAUUUGAUUUUAUAGAUUUUUUAAUUUUUUUAAUUAGAUGGAUUAGAUCGAGGUCAAGUUAAAAAAAAAACCCCCACCUUGAGAUAAUUACCAAACAACUCAUUUAUAUAUGAUAUUAGUUUAAGAUAGAUUUGUUCAUGGAUUGAGUUACCAGAUCUGAUUUGGUAAAAAUAUAUGUCUGAAAAAUGAGUUUGGCAAGAAAAUAAGGCCCGUUUGUAAAACAAGUCAAGCCUCGGGUAAGGCUUUUUUGACCCGAGCCAGAAUUUACAAAAAGAAAAGUCUAAUUUUUUUUAUUUUUUCAUCAUUAUUUUGCUACUAUCUCAUUAUUACGAUGCUACUGUUUUGUUGUUAAUAUUUGAAUAUUGUAUAAUUCUUGUUUUAUUAUUAAUUUUGUUUUUAUUUUAGAGAUAUUUACUUAUUAAAUUUAAGUUACACCUAUUUUAGUAUUAUUUAAGUAUACAUUUUUUUCAAGUUGUUGAGAAAUAUUUAUUUUAAUAUUUUUAGUAUUUUUUAUGUAUUAUAUUUUAAAAUAUAUAUAUACGGGAGGGCUGGACCGGGAUCAAAUUUUAAUAUUUUUAUAUGAGUCGGGCUAAGCCUAGCAAACGGGCAUAAGAUUCCGAUUGAGUCUGACCUGACCCAAUCAAUGAACACCUGUAGUUUAAAAUAUAUGAUAGUAAAAAAUAUAUUAAUGUUUACUCUAACGUAAUUAUACCCCGAAAACAAUUAAUAGCAUCAUUGAAAAUAAUAAUAAAUCAAAAUUAGUGUUCCAUUUUGAUAAAAAAAAAAUCAGCAUAUCAAGUUGGGUCAAAAGGUAAAUCUUUAAUUUUUCGAGUUAAGUUGAAGAUAAAUAAAUUAAUAUUUACUAUUAAGUUAGCCCGAAGUGGGGUUAAGUGUUGCCAUCUUUAUUUUGAUUUUUUAAAGAUUUAGUUGUUAAUUAAUUAAUUGAGUUAAUUAUUUAAGGGUUAAAUGAAGCAUAUAAUUAAAGUAAAAUCGUAUCAAACUUCAAUUAAUUACAAAUCAGAUAAGAUACGAAUGGCGUAGGUUUAGGAAAAGAGAAUUUAUUUCGGAAAUAAAAAAUAAAAAAAAUCGUCGCAAAAAGAUGGGACUAUAAAACACAGGCGCCGCGCGUAAUAGUCACUCUACUUUUCGCUGCUUUCAGUUCUUGGCUGUUGACUCGAUCUCCCUCGGUGCUCUCUCUCGCUCGCGGCUCUCUUCUCUACGGGUAAAAUUCUAGGGUUUUCACUUCUUCUGUUUAUAAUUCUUGCUUCUACAAAUAAGCAUUAAUCCAAGGUCUUUGCUUUGAUUUGUUAGUUUCGGUCUUCCUUGAUUUUUCAAUUUAGGGUUUUCUUUUUAAUUGGAUCUAGGUUUUCUUUUUUAAACAAAAAAUUGAAUGUACUCAUUGUUAUGGUCGAUGAUCUUUUAAUGAUAUGGGAGCCUUGAUAUUGAAAACAGGCUUUACAUUGCACACCAAAUGAAUUUUGAGCUCAGUUGGGAACAGCCGCCUUCUGUUUUUUGUUCUGAUCUGGGGUUUACGAACCGUGGGAGAUUGAGGUAUUUUUCACAAAAGAUUUUCUUUUGGCAUUGGACUUGGCCCGUUUUUUACGCGUCAGGUUUUUUGUUUUGAUUAUACGAUUUGAUUCUGCUGCGUUACUUGAAGAAGCGGAAUCACAAAUUUUGUUGUUCAUUUUCUCGUGAGCCAUUUGUUUGUUAUUGGAUACCGAGACUCCAAGUUUUGGAUUUUUCUGAUGGGGAAAAACACAUUGCCCCCGGGGUUUCGAUUUCACCCCACCGAUGUAGAACUUGUUAUGUAUUAUUUGAAAAGGAAAGUAUUAGGCCAGAAGCUUUUGUUGAAUGUGAUUGCUAAAGUUGAUGUUUAUAAGUUUGCUCCCUGGGACUUGCCUGAUAUGUCCUGUAUGAAGACCGGGGAUCUUAAAUGGUACUUCUAUUGUCCUAUCGAGAAGAAAUAUGCUAGAGGGGAUAGGGUGAAUCGAGCUACUAUAUUCGGCUACUGGAAAGCCACAGGAAAGGAUCGGCCUGUAAAGUACAAUGGCGAAGUUGUUGGAAUGAUCAAAACCUUGGUAUUUCACAAAGGUAAAGCUCCACGUGGUGACCGAACAGACUGGGUUAUGCACGAGUAUAGGCUUGAAGAAAAAAUAUUGGCUGACAGAGGGCCUGUUCAAGAUAUGUAUAUGCUUUAUGUUGUUUUCAAGAAGGAUGGUCUGGGCCCAAGAAAUGGUUCCCAAUACGGGGCCCCAUUCAAGGAAGAGGAGUGGAGUGACGACGAGCAGGCAGAUGUGCCUGGUGCUGGUUCCCUUUGCGGCCUGUCUACAGUAGCUGUUGGUGGUGAUAAUAGCUCCUGUGUCCCCGAGAGUGUAUGUGUUGGGCCUUCUGUCGAGUCAAGUGGGUGGUGUACACAACCAUCGAUGGGUCAUACUAAUGGCGAUGUUAAUGUCACCACUGCCAUUGAUACUAAUGCUUAUGCUGCCCCUACAUGCGCGGAUGCCCCUGAAGUUCCAGUGGUCGCUGUUGCUGAGGAUGUUCCUACAUUGUUGGAGGCGCCUCAACCUGCUCUGGUUCCUCAAGAUCAAGAAUCGAAUGAUAACGUGUUAUCUAUGUUGGAGUGCUUCUUUGAAGAGGAUGCAUUUGGUACACAUGAAGGUCUGAGGAGGGGCAAUGCAACUGAUUCUUCCUUCAAGGAUACUCCCGUUUCUGAUGAGGAUGAUAUUUCAAGCUUGUUGGCCUCUUUUACUGAUGUCGACAAUUCAAAUAACUGGUCUUAUCCUUUUUAAUAAAGUAAUUGUUCAACUAUUGGAACUGGAAGCUAUGUUUUUAGAUUACUUGUUUUAUUCUUAGGAAUAAAUGCUGUUGUUUGGUUUACCAGUGUCAUUGACUUGUUUCUGUUUGAUUAUCAUGUUGUGCUCUCUAUACAUUUUCUUUAAUGGAAUGUCUGGCAUAUUAAUUGUGAAUUUAAAUGUUCCAGUAUUAUGAAUUUUCUGACUGUUGCUCUAGGAAUCAUAAGGUUGCAGGUACAAACUACAAUCCAUUGAAGAAAAAGUAUAAAAGCACAUAUGAAAGGAAAGGUAUCUCAAAGGAAUGAAUGCUGCUGCUGCUGUUGGGUUUACUAGUGUUAUUAUCAGCAAGUGUUUGGUUUGAGAUAGAAGAGCAGCAGCAUUCAUAUCAGUUUAAAUACUUUUUCUUCAAUGGAGUGUCAGUUUUAACCUGCAGUGUGUGGUGAUUUAAAUUGAUAUAAAUUAUUUUGUAGUAAUAUUUCCCAAUUCCCAUGGCUGUUUGGAUAGGAAUCAUAAGUAGGCAGUCUUGGGAACAUAUAUUUUCUUUACCCCUAGGUGUGUUCAAUAGUUUUCUAUUACUACUGCGAAAGGAAAGGCACAAAAGAGAAAAACAGGGCCCUCAUGUUAUUAGUUUCGCCUAACAAUGAUGAAAAACAUAAACCAGAGUCAUGUGAUUUUAUGUUGUUUCAUUCCAUAAUCUGCUGUAAAUACGUUAGUUUUACUUGAAACUGAUAGCAAGUUAACUUCAAAUACAAAAUUUGCGUUUCUGUCAAAUUUAGGCUUAACUGAACAAAAUCAAGCCUAAUUAAUUAGUAUGAUUAAAGGAUUUACACAACUUGAUCCCAAUUUUGUUAAAAUUAUGAUCAACACACUAUAUUUGGAUUUUUGUGCAAACUCCUUUACUUUGAUGACUAUUUAAAAUGUUUACUUUCAACUCAAUUAAUUAAUUUUAAUUGUCUUAUCCAGAAUAUGCAAUUACGUAAUUCAUACAAUUUUUUUCCUGAUUUUUCUAUUAGUUUUAAGUUUUUACUUGCAAAUAGUUGAAAGUUAUAACGAGUUAUUGGAAAAAUUGAUUAGACAUAUAAUUAACUUAUAAUCGAGUUUUAACUCUUCAUUUAUUAAAUAUAAAAUUACUAAAUGAUAGAGUCAAAUCAUUAAAAAUAUCAUUAUUGAACUCUCCUUUAUAUAUCAUUACAAAAGCUGUUUAUAUUUUUAAAUUUCAAUCCAAUAAAAUUAUCUUAUAAGCAUUUCGUGAUCGCUUAAUGUUAAACUUGUUCAACUAAUGUUUUCACUUUUAUCUCAUGGGUACCAUUGUACUUAUUAUAUGAUGAAAAUGAUCUUUAUUUAUACCGAUAAUGAUUAAGUCAUUUGUUCUAGACAAAUGAUUCAUGAUUAUGUUAAAUUUUAAAAAAUCAUAAAGUUAUUUUAUUACCUCUAUUUUAUUUUAAUAUGAUAUUUACAUUUUAAUUUAUUAUGUAUAUUUUAUUACCUAUCAAUUGUAUAUUUAUACUUACUAUUAUUUAAACCUCUAAUUGAAUUGGUGUCACUAGUCAAUUGAGCACCAAUUUGGUUUGAAAAAUUAUGAAAAUGUCAUUUCCUAUUAAAAUAAGUACAUUAUUCGAGGGUACUUUAAUCUCUUAAUUUUUUAGGGUUAAAUCACUUUUGAGAGCCUGAACUUGAUAACUUUUCCUAUAUUAGGGCUUGAACUUUUUUUUUGUCCAAGUUAGCCUUUGAAAACCUUGAAGUUCAAACUUAAACCCCUGUUGAGUUGGUGUCAUGAGUCAACCGCGCACUAAUUCGGUUUGAGAAAUGAUAAAAGACGUUGCUUUAUAUUUAAAAUAAGUUAUAUUAUUCAAUGGUACUUUAAUCUUUUUAUAGUGAGGUUUAAAACCCAUGCCAUUUACAUUUAAAAAACCCUUAACCAUUGAACUGAAUGUAACACCCCUAACCCUUAUUCGGCGCUGGAACAGGGUUGCAGAGCAUUACCGAGCUUUUCAGAUCAAUUACGAACAUUUCAUAUGAUUUAAUACACAUAUUAGAAACCAAUCAUAAUUCACUCACAUUGUCCCUUACACGAGCCCUCGAGGCCCAAAAUAUACAUUAGAAACAAGUAGGGACUAAACCGAGAACUUAGGGAAUUUUUCGUGAAAUUUCAAAAUUUUUAUUAGGUGUAGGAGACACACAUCCGUGUGGGGAUUCGAUGUGAGGCACACGGCCGUAUCCUAACUCGUGUCCAUACCCGUGUAACUCUCUGACUUGGGUCACACGACCAAGCCACACGCCCAUGUGCUAGGCCGUAUGAACAAUUUAAUUUGUAAUAAUUAGGUGCAGGGGUCACAUGGCCAAAAAAUACGCCCGUGUGUUAGGCUGUGUAUCACACACGGCUGAGACACACACCCGUGUCUCUGUCCGUGUGGGCAAUUCAGAGCAUUCUAUUUCUUAAUUUUCAAGAUGCAGAGGACACACAGCCAAACCACACGCCCAUGUGCACGCCCGUGUCUCUGUCCGUGUGGACAAAAUAAGGUCAUUCUGAAGCCUUAUUUCUCACCCAAAUUGCCUUCCACCUACAUAAACACUUAACCAUGUUCACCAACUAAUUCAAACCAUUCAAAUUAAGCCAAAUUCAUGUAUUAAGUAUGACAUAAUGUCACAUAUAACUAAGUAUUCAAACUUACUAAAUUAACCCAUUUCACAUAUAUGCAUAUUGGACUAAAUGUGCUAACUCAAUCUAAUCAUCAAUAUAUCUAUAUGCUUUUCAACACUUAACCAUUUUAAACACAAACCAAGCAUGAUAAAGCUACACACAUACAUAUAUAUGUAUACUUCAAAAUAAAACUAUUACAAGCCAUUCCAAUCGCUAGUUCCAACCAAAUAUUUAUAUGCCAUCAUUUCGCCAAUUUAACCUAUACAUGCCAUUAUAACCAAAAAUUAACUUGCUUUACAUAUCGAGAAGUCCUAGGGAUAGUGUGAUGUGACUCCGACCAAGUUCCAACCUUCACGAGCUUCUGAGUACUAUAAAACAGAGGAAAUAAAACAGAGUAAGCUUUUAAGCUUUGUAAAUUCGUAUAACAUGUAAUUUAACUUACCUUUAUUUCACAAUUGUAAGCAUACAAAUAAACAUGCAUCCAAAGCAAUUUGGCCAAUUGCCUAAACACAUAUACUCAUCAAGCAUGUUAGUCAUGUAUUUCAUGUGCAUUUCAAGUAACAGAGAUGAGCUCAUCAUAUAAACCUUUCCAUGUAUUUUCAGGUAGAUACAAAUAUUGAUUCGUUCAGACCUUAUCUUAACUUACAUCGGAACCUUGUCCAUUGAACCUUAUGAAAUAUCGAUGAACAUCAGGUAGUACACAAUGAAGUGUACGAAUCUUUAAUCCUUCAAUUCAUAUUCGGGAGUGCUCAUAAGAACACUUAAAUGGGAAGCACUCUCUCGAUCCAUAUAAUGGGAAGCUCAUAAGAGUCAUAUUCAGGAAGCUCAUGCGAGCCAAUAUCAGAUAGCUCCGAAGAGCCAAUAACGGAAAGCUCCGGAUAGCUUAAUAUCAGGAAGUUCAAGCGAGUCAUAUCGGGAAGCUCAUAAAGAGCCAAUUAACAGGAAGCUCACGAAGGGCCAUAAUCGGGAAGCUCAUAAGAGCUACGGUGUGUCCACAACACAUGUAGGAUCACAACCAAUCAGGAUGCUCCGAAAAGCUAUUAACGGGAAGCUCGCAAGAACCAUAUGACGGGAAGCUCGAGAGGGCUAAUAACGGGACUCUCUUUUGAGUUGUGGUGUAUCCGCAACAUAUGCAGGACUACAACCAAUACGGGAAACUUAUAUCCAUCGAUUUUCAUUUGUUCAAACGAGACUUAACAUUUAUCAGGCAUUAUCGGAUAUUUGAUAAAUUUCAUAUACAUGGCAAUUAUACAAUUCACAUAUACAACAUUUAAUUCAAACAUAUAAAUGUACAACAUUUAGUUACACGAACUUACCUUAACAACGUUCGCGUUUGUAGGCUACUAAUCCAAUACUAUUUAUUUUCCUCGAUCCAAUUCCAAACUUGGUCUAUUCGGAUCUAUACGAGUAAAUUUAACUAAAUUUAAUACAAUUCAUAUUCAAUUCCAUUCAAUUCACAUAUUAGGAAAAAUUACCAUUUUUCCCCUAUGCUUUUGAUUAAUUACAAUUUCGUCCCUAGGCUCGGAAAAUGAAAUUCAUGAAAUUUAAUCUUCAUUCCAAGCCUAUUAAUUUUCAUACAUAUUAAUAGCAACCCAUGAAUUCCAUAAAAUUUAGAAGUUUCCAUGAAUUCAACAUCUUUUCAAUUUAAUCCCUAAAUCAUGAUGUCAUCAAAAUUCUUUAAUAAAACACUUUUAAAUACCCAUCAACACCUCAAAUUCAUCAUCUAAUAACUAAAAUCAUAUGAACUCAUCAAUGGUAACUUCCAAGAUUUUCAAUAAAUCAAAAACCAAAGUAAAGGUUAAGUGAGCCUAAUUGUAAAAAUCACAAAAGUAUAAAAAUUUCAAGAAACGGGUAAGAAUUUGAUUUACAUGGAGAAAGAAUUGAAAAACCAGCUUAAACCCUCUUCAAUUUCUAUUUCUAGAACUGAAAAUGAUGAUGAAAUGUCUAGAAUUCUUUAAUUUCUUAUUUAUUUCAUUAGAUUUGAAAUUUUGCCCUUAGUUCACACAAUUUUAUCAUAUUUUUAAGGCUUAUGCAGACUCAGCCAUUUUCUUUUGGCAUAUUUAUGCCUUAAGUCCCUCCUUAUUUAUUGGUUAAGCUAUUUAAUCACUAUUUCUUUUAAUUAACAAGUUUUGCACCUUUUCCAAUUAGUCCUUUUUAACAAAUUAGACGUGUAAUCGAUAAAAUUUCUUAACAAAAUUUUCAUACGACAUUCCUAUCACACCAUAGACUAUAAAAUAAUAUUAAAAUAAAUUUUCUUCCGACCUCAGAUUUGUGGUCUCGAAACCAUUGUUUCGAUUUUACUGAAAACGGGUUGUUACACUGAAACUUUAUUUUUAAUAUAAUAUAUCAAUUUUAUUUUUAUUAUACAUACUUUAUUACCUCAAUAAAUUAUAUAUAUUGAUAAUAUUGUUGAUUCUUUAUUAGCUCAAUAGAUUAUAUAUGUUGAUAAUAUUGUUGAUUCAGUUGGUAUCACAAGUUAACUUGAUAGUUACCAUGAUAAACAAUUAUAGUGCAUUAUGCUGUAUUUACAUAUUUUAAAUUUUGUUUUACUCACGGUUUAAUCUAUUUUUUUCAUUUUAAAAUCAUACAUAUUUCACGUGUUAUUACUAACUAAUUUCAAUUCACAUGUUUCAUUAUUCAUUGCAUAUUAUUCUUAAAUGCACAUUUAUGUUUUAAAUACGUAGUUUCUGUAUGCAUAAACUUUUAAUCAUAUAUAGAAAAGGAAGCAAAAUAAAAAAAAUUGACUAGAAUAUGAAUCUGAACAAUUAAAAAUUAAAAUAAAUCAAACUAAUAUUGACUAAAUGGUAUUAAAAUAGCACAUGACCACAUGAUGGGACAAAAAAAUCUACAUAUAUAAUUAUGUAAAAUAAAUCCUAAACACUUACAACUAAAAUUCAAACACCUCAUAUAGUGUUGUAAUUAAAAGUCCUUACAAAAUUAUGCAAUAAAUAAUGUGUUUUUGACAACUCCUACUUCUUCUUAGACUUUCUCUUGUUUUCCUCAAUAUUUUUUGAAUUAAUUGUAUUUUAUUAUUUGAUUUUAGUUUAAUUUUUUAAAAUCUAAAUUAUUAAAAAACUUAAGAAAUAACCAAAUCAAAAUAGUGUUAUCUCACUCUUACUUCAAGAAAGAAGAGCUUAUUGGCAGAGAAUUUGUGAUGGUUAUGUUUUGCCCAAAAAGUAGUCACAUGCAUAUUUCAGACUUUAAUGUGAGAAAUUAGUCUGACAAAAAGUGUGACAUACAAUCAAUGCUCACCUUUUCCUAUUAAUUUCGCUACUAUAAAAUAUAUUAAGCAUUGUGGGUAAUGUCCUUUUGGAUAGGGAUAACUAUGGAGUUAGGCAAUGUUUGAACUUUGUUAUUAAAUGCCUGAAAGCAUUGCUUUCAUAACCAUAUCACUUCACCUCCAUUCUUUUAUUAACUAUACACUAGAGUUAGUGUAUAUUUAUAAUCUAGUUGAGGAUUUUAUGUAACAAUUAUUUAUUAUGGAUCGAGUCACCCCCAGGUCUAAAGGCCUGUUUAAAAUGUGGAAGGGUUUGGAUAAAAAUACAGGCCCAAAAAAUAGGUUUGGACAAAAAAUAAUGCUCGUUUGCUGCCAUUUUGAUGUUGUUUUGCUACUGUUUUGUUGUUAUUAUUUGAAUAUAGUAUAACUAUUUCCUACUACUUUAGAGACAUUUCUUGCUAAGUUGCAAUUAUCUAAGUAUUAUUUGAGUAUAAAGAUUUUUUUAAUGUAUUUUUAAUUUGUUGGGAAACAUUUAUUUUAAUAUUUUGUGUAUUUGAUGUAUUGUAUUUUUAAAAUUCUUUUAUAUAAAAAUUUAAUACAGGCAGGUCGAACUCGAGUUUAGCAUUUUUUAUCUGGCUCAGGUUUGGGCAAAUUUUUAGGCCCAGAGCUUAAAAUUUUGUAUUGGCCUAGCCCAAACCCGGCCUAACCCAUGAUUAGAUCUAAUUAUAAUGAUAAAAUUAAUUGUUUAUCAUGCAUAGUAUUUGGAGUUCAAAUCUCAUUAUGAUUAAAUUGUUUAUUCAUUUAUUAUAUAUAAAGACAAAAACACCCUAUAAAAAUAUAACUUAAUUUGUACCAAAUAUGGUCUUUUAGUAAUUUCAUAACUGAGUUGGUACCCAAUUAGUUCACGAUACCAACUCAGUAGAACACUUAAAAUAAGUAUAAAGUAUAUAUAUAAUAUACCCCUUCACACACAUAUAUUUCGUAUUAUACUCUAAAACUAUAUAAGAUACAAAUAAAAUAUUUUAAAAUAAACUAUACAAUCAAUCACUCAACUAUUAGCAUGUUUUUGUUUCGAGCACAGAACUACGAAAAUUUUCAUUAUUGUUAUUAACAUUAUUGUUUGUUUAUGUUUUGGUCACCCUUCGUUAAAUAAUUAGCGAAAAUGAUGACAUGGUUUUUAAAUUGGUAUAAUUACACAUUUAGUCCUCAACACUUACACACUGUAUCAAUUUAAUUCUAAUUCUAAAUAAUUCGAUAAAAUUAACCUUUCAUAUUUACAAAUUUCAUCGAUUUGUAACAUGGGAAGACAAAGACUACAUACUUAUUUAUCUUUAGACCUUUGAAUUUAGACAUAUUUUGAGACUAUAAAUAAUACUUUAUAAACCAAACAAGGAGAAGAAAGAGAAUAUAAUAAAGGGAUAGAAGAGUAAAUUCGAUAUUUGAGGGUUUUCCUUGUGGGUGAUGAGAAUCAAGGGAAAAGAAGAACAAACGAUUGCGAAUGAAGUACGAAAGCUGGUUGUGGCGCAAACUAGGUGACGGCAGAGGGCAAUAGAAAAGGCGCUCAUAGCAAUAAUGGCACUGAAAAAUGAUAACAACGGCAACAAUGAGAACAAGAAUAAGAAACGAUGAGCAUAGGGGGUCAAUGAGAAGUUAGCUGUCACGGUGGCUAAUGAAGCAACAAAUAGGGAGGAGGAGAAUAGUGUCACGGGGCUAGACCUUUAGUCUCGCAAACCGUGCGGCCUUAGGCGAUCCGUUUACUCCAAACUCACCUAAGUUAGCCUUUACGCCCAAAAGUGAGGAUUCCUUAGAACUCCUCCAAGGCACCAAUUUGUAUAGCGAAAGCGAUUGUGCCAAAAGAAGCUACAAAAGAACAACAGAAAAACCAAAGAAAGAAUGCACACAAAGUGUUUGAGUAAAUGCUCAAGGAGUUCUAUUACUCUUAAGAAUUCACCUUACAAUGGAUGAUUACAAAUGAGGGGGAGGCUCUUUAUUUAUAGUUGAGCUUCCCCAAAACUGACGGUCAAGAUACAUUUACAUCGACGGACGAGAUUCACUAUAUCCCUUGAUUUUAGGGAUUUACAAGAUUUGCCAUAUCAAAUCUAAUCUAAUCUUUACAAGAUAUGAUUCUCUCUAUCUUUUAAGAUUAGUUACCAAAAUUAGCCUAAGUUGCUAUGUCUUCAUCAUCGGGCCAACCAGGCUUCAAUCUGACAGGCUUCUCCAAUAAUUCCUUGAAUCGGGCCAGUUCUCGUAGGCUAAAUGUUCCCCAUCUUAUUAAUGGACCUCCAUGGGGCACAUCUUGUGCCAUGGUCACGGGCUUUGCACUUUGGCCCGUGACAUUCUCCCCCAUCCAUUCUCGCAACGCCCUCGUUGCGACUUCUAGAUGAUACUGACUUGAUUCACCUUUUCUCGUUGCCUCGGCUUCUUCCCGACUUGCCUUGCGAUCGGGUUGUCUCUUCCUUCGGAACUUAUGCCUCGGCUUCCGUCGCCUCUUAUCUUGAACCGUUGCACUCGUUGGUACAUUCUGUUGGCAAGAAGUCUCCGCUUUAACUUACCCCAAUUUUGACUUGUUUCCACUGGAAUCCCCUGGAUUCUCACAUCUUGGCUUCGUACCACCCCUAGUCCCUUUGCCUCUUUGCUUAUGAACUUUGAAAGGGCCCCUACGACCUUGCCAAGCCAACAAGUCAGAAUUCAAAACACUAUUAGAGUGUUUGCAAUGUACCUUACUCGUAGCAUUUACUCGUAUCGACUGUCUUUGCAUCGCUUCUUUCCCCUCGAAGCUCGAUGCACAACCCACCUUUCCCAAAGGUGUCGGCUCCACAGUCGAUCUCGCAGGCUUCAUAUCGGUCCCUUGCGCCACUAACACUUCCGAAGGGGCUUUCGUAGCAUUCCGUUCUGACGAAUUAAUGUUUCUCCCAUGCGAAACAUCUUCGACAAGUUGGAUUGACGAUAACACCUUAGUCCCAACCUUCACAUCCCGAUGCACCGGCACAAUCGUUUUUGUUGACGGACCGGUAACAAUAUGGAUUUGAUCAGCCCAUGGUUGCAGAGUUGCCUGAAUCCUGUCAAGGAAGUUUAAGCCAAGCACAUAAUCGUAAUCAUCCAAUUGGAUUACCUCGAAAUCUUCAUUGCUCUUCCAUUCGCCGAUUUGUAGUUCCACAUCACGAACUACUUCCACAGUUGGGGCUUUCUUGGAAGUUGCUACCUUGAUUUUCUUAUUUGAUUUCCUAAUCGACAGACCAAGCUUCUUCGCAGCCUUUUCCGACAUGAACAAGUCCGAUGCUCCCGUAUCAAUAAGAGCACUCCGCUUCUGACCCGCAAUGUUGAUGUCCACAAACAUCAACCCUUUUCUACCAUUCUCUUCCCAGGAAUGAGCACCAUCGAAUUGACUUUCGAUGUCUUUCCCUCGAUAGGCUUCGCCUCAUCUUUCUUUUUGAUUGCUGAAACCAUCACUUUAUUUGGACAUUUUCGCGCCAUGUGUGGUCCUUGACAAAGGAAGCAUUUUAUCUUCUUCCUCUUGUCCCUUGGGUUGUCGAAUCCCCGAUUCGUAUUUCGUGGUUUCUCAUUGCCACUUGUGCUAUCGGUACUGUUGUCAUUAUCGCUAUGUCCCUCUUCAUCUUCUUGAUGGUUUCUCUCACCAUUGCCCUUUCCAUUGGGCUUAGAUGCCUCAAGCUCGUCUCUCGCCGGACCAAGCUCAACAAAGGACUCUGCUUCUGCCAUGGCUACAGUAAGUUUAGUGAUUCCUUGCCUUCGCAACUCAUGCUUUGCCCUCGGCUUUAACCCAUCCUCGAACCAAUAGAACGUUUCUUUCUCGCUGAAGUCAGAGAUUUGAAGCAUCAACUCGCUAAAUGCCCGAACAUACUCCCGAACAGUGCCUUGUUGCGUGAGACGACGCAACUUAGCCCGAGCCUCCUUCUCGGCAUACUGUGGGUAAAACUGCUUCUUGAACUCUCUUUGGAACUCCUCCCAAGUCUCAAUUACGUUCCCACCACAUUUCUUAUCCGUGGACCUACGACGCCACCACAAGAGAGCUACAUCAGUAAAAUAGAUUGAAGCAGUGCUUACCUUAAUGGCAUCAUCCUCGAUGCCCAUCGCUCGGAAGUAUUGCUCCAUUUCCCACAAGAAGUUGUCCACAUCCCUUGCGGAUCGUGCACCAUUGAACUUCUCCAGUUUGGGAACAUCCAUUGCCUGUUGCUUCGGCCUUGAAAACAAUAUCCCAUUACUCAAAGCGGCUUUGUAGAUCGCGAGCUCCCCUUUGAGCUCCUCUAUUUCUUUCUUCAUGGCUAACGCCAUAUCCUCGAGAGCUUCAUCCCUCUCUGCCAGCUUUUCUGCAGUGGACUCUACUAAUUCAUUCAUCUUUUCCCUAUUGGCAUCGAGAGAAUCCAACACAAAAUCUCUGAGUUGCUCCUCCAUUGAGUCAAAUCCAUCUGUGCGUCCCUCGACCAAUUCAAGCUUCUCUUUCACGUUCCUUACGGAUUCCUCGAGAUUGACCACUCGAUUUUCCAAAGCUGUCAGCAUUUCCCUCGAGUGACUAGCUUUUCUGGCCCUCCCACGGGUCUCAAUUGGCUCACUCUGACUAACGACUUCUUUUGACAUCCCAACAGUGCCUUCAAACCAACUUGAAUAUCACUUGGUUCAAAACUUGGCUCGGAUACCACUUGUCACAGGGCUAGAUCUUUAGUCUCGCAAACUGUGCGGCCUUAGGCGAUCCGUUUACUCCAAACUGGCCUAAGUCAGCCUUUACGCCCAAAAGUGAAGAUUCCUUAGAACUCCUCCAAGGCACCAAUUUGUAUAGUGGAAGCGAUUGUGCCAAAAGAAGCUACAAAAGAACAACAGAAAAACCAAAGAAAGAAUGCACACAAAGUGUUUGAGUAAAUGCUUAAGGAAUUCUAUUACUCUUAAGAAUUCACCUUACAAUGGAUGAUUACAAAUGAGGGGGAGGCUCUCUAUUUAUAGUUGAGCUCCCCCAAAAUCGACGGUAAAGAUACAUUUACAUCGACGGACGAGAUUCACUAUAUUCUUUGAUUUUAGGGAUUUACAAGAUUUGCCAUAUCAAAUCUAAUCUAAUCUUUACAAGAUAUGAUUCUCUCUAUCUUUUAAGAUUAGUUACCAAAAUUAGCCUAAGUUGCUAUGUCUUCAUCAUCGGGCCAACCAGGCUUCAAUCUGACAGGCUUCUCCAAUAAUUCCUUGAAUUGGGCCAGUUCUCGUGGGCUAAAUGUUCCCCAUCUUAUCAAUGGACCUCCAUGGGGCUCAUCUUGUGCCAUGGUCACGGGCUUUGCACUUUGGCCCGUGACAGUAGAACCAAAUUGGUAAAAAUUGUAAAUAUGAAGGAUUAAAUUGGUUGAAUUAUUUAAAAUUAAGAUUAAAUUAAUAAAAUAUGUUAAGUGUUAAAGAAGUAAAAGUGUAAUUAUACAAAUUAAAAAAAUCAAGUCAUUAGUUUCAUUAAUUCUUAAUAGAGGGUGACCAAAAUAAAAACAAAUGAUAACAUAUUAGUGAUGAAAAUGAAAAUUUUUAUAGUUUAAUGACCAAAAUACAAAUAUGCUAAUAAUACGAUUUACCGAUAAUUUUAGAAGUUUGGUAAUGUUCCUUAAUACACAAGCUAAAAUUUGCCGAAUUUGGGGUACCCUACCCUAAUUUGGAGAUAGGGGUUGGGGGUUGGGUUAUGGAGAUAGAAAGGCAACACAUUAAUGUCCACAACUAAUCAAAUGUCAACACUCUGUUAAAGGGUUCAACCACGACAAACUUUCACUUUCCCCGCCCCAAAAAAAUAUGGCCUUUCAAAUGUUGUAAUGUAAUAGUCCCACAAGAUUUCAUGGCUCUCAAAGCUUCCGUAUGCCUUCUGAGAAUCAAUAAUAUAUAAAUGAAAAUAAAUACAUCAUUCCACCGCUUUUUUAUAUCAUUAAUCGACAAAUUUUCACUUUCGAUGAUUAAAAAAUAUCUUCUUAAUUAAAGAUUAUUUGCAGCUUGAGGAGGUCAGCUUACUGUCGGCAAUAAAAAAUCCAGGCGGCUCAGCCUGGGCAAGAUAUGAACUGCCAACGGUUCCAACUCCGCCGGCCUUUGGACUGCCCAGAAUUUGGGUGGCGCCGCCACCACAUCGAUGACUAGAAUCUCCCCAUCGCCACAAAUAACGCAUAAUCUUCCUCCAGCGGCGGCCAUUUGGCAUGCCCCUCUAAGACUCUCUACCUCCAUUAUCACCUCCCAAUUAUCGCUGUCUUGGUUAUACCUCGUGAGUAAUCCCUUACCUUCGUCAACAGCAUAUAGAACUUCCUCAUCCAUGGCGGCAACGGGUCCUCUCCAACCACCCACCAUCCCCUCCGGCAUCUGUUCCCAUAUGUCAUUAGCGGCGUCGUAAAGAAUCCCUUGUUUAGCCACGUUCACCAUACAAAGCUUCCGUCGCCAACCAACGGCGUCGAUGGCGUCUGUGCUGAAUCUCCCAUCUUUCAGUUGUCUCAUCUUCUUCCAUCUGAAAUCAUCCAUUUCAUCCUCCUCCCCCAAGUCCCACUUCUCCAAAGAUCUCGCCACGUCGGUGGAGAAGUUAGACCCAAUCCCACUGGCAACGUAAACGGUUGGACCCGAUGCCCCCGCUGCACACCAGCGGCGCGGAGUCUCCAUUGGAGGACCCAAACUCCAUGAACGAGAUAGGGGCGAGAAUAUGAGGGGGCGAGAAAGGGCUGGAUUGAAAUUGGGGGCAGUUGCUGCUAAAAGAACAAGAUUACCCGAUACAGAAAUGGAUUGAACAGGGAGGUUCCGGCAUAAGAAAGAGGGGUGAUGAACAAGGAGACGAAGAGGAUUAGGGGGCGGAGGAACCGUUUCCCACCUAGACGACAUCGGAUCGAAGCUCAACAACUGGAUUUCAUUAUCUGACGAUGAAAAGAAUAGAGCGUAGAGAGAGGGGAAAGGAGGGAAAAAGGGACAGUAGAUUAAGCGACGCCAUGAACGGCAAACGGAGUAAAGCAAAGAAGGGUGAACACGAGAGAGGCAGAGCUCUGCCACGUGGUCCGGCAGGCCUGGUAUUAGAGGCUGUUCUUGGAGGUGGCGGUGGUCGUAGUGGGCUAUCAGCUUUUGACGUUUGCUGGGGUUGAGGGAUUUGCCCAUGUAUGAAUGGUAGAGCUUGAAAGCAAGGGGAAGCAAUUGGGUGCAGAUUUGGGAACUUAAAAUGGGAGGGUUUUAUUAUUAUUCUUCAUUACAUUAUAAUUAUCCUAUUGGCAACGUCUCUUUUUAUUUUAAUAUUCUAAUCCAAGAAACAUUAAGAUAAGAGUCAUCAAUCGGGAUGUUGCCAAUUUGUCGUUUUAUAUUCAUUAUUGUCCACCUCUAUUAAAUUUUAAAAGUUGGGUUUUGGCUUUUUAAGUUUGAAAGGUGACAUAAUUCUAAAUUUUUAUUAAUUACAUCAUUAAAACAUUAUAUAUUUUUACUUUUAAUUCGAUUGAUACGGAUAUUAUUAUCAAUAUAAGAAGAUAUGAGUUCAAAUAAGUUAAAACGUAUUUUUUUCCUAUUUAUGAGUUAAGAAAACCUACGAAAAUAUUAAUACAAUUUAUAAAAUUUAAAAAAAUUCAGCACAAAUUUUGUUGUGGACCAUCUAUUUAAAUCUUAGCUUUUAAACUUUCUCGACUUGUAAACUUUACAACAUCAACUACAUAGGUAGGUUUUUUUCUUUAACUUUAGGUUCACUCUUGGGGUAUCACGUGGGAAUAUAAAGACAUACUAAAAUUAACAAAUAUAAAGCAUUUACCCAACUGAUAAUUAAACUAUAUAUAUGUAUAUAUAUCCACUUAUCCUAUUUCAAUUUUUAAUUUUAAUCUUGUUAUCAUUGAAAAUUUAAUAUAUAAUUUUAAUUAAUGUCAACUCUUAUCAUGUCUUUUACUCCUUUAUUUAUAGUUCAACUUUCAUGAAAUAAUCUUUAACCAUAGAUGAUGGUGAGGAUGAAGCUUGACAAAUCAAUUUAGGUGAAAUUGUUUUGACAUUUACGUAUAAAAAUUGUUUAGUUGGUUAUUUUUUGACAGUUAAUAUUACAAUUUACUAAUUCAGUGUUUGAUACCAUACCAAUGAUUUUAAGAAAAACGCUUCAUUUUUCAAUAUUACCAUAAGAUCAAUGUGGAGAGGAUUGUUGACGGUAGAUCAUGAACCUUUGCCAACCACUUAUUAUUGAUACAUAGGUUAGAAGUGGGGCAAGAUGCAAUGCUAAUCUCUCUUUAUUUUGCCUAUUUUUGGUUGCAAAUUCAUGAACCACUAAGCGGCCCCAUGUUUGAGGCUAUGGGAACGCAAUUCGACAACUUCGUAGGUGCUUCUGUAGGAUAUGAUGCAAAAUCAGUGUCUAAUGACUUUAAACGUUAUAUGAGGGUCAUAGUAUGGUUGGAUGUGAGAAAUUCGUUAAAGCAGGAAAAGAAUAUUGUUGUCACAAAAUAAUCAUGUUUAUGCUUGCUUUAAGUAUGGCUUUUUAUGUGAACAUCUUAUCUACUUGGAAAACACUUGUCCGAUUCGAGCAAUUCCUACAAUUAAUGGGAAAAAGGAAUUGCCGAUGAAUUAGGGAAUUAAAUUAUUAAACUGAAGGUUGUUGAUCAGCGUUCAACUUCCACGACUAGCCAUUGGCUCAGGGAAGGAAGUGAGUUUGCGAUUUCACAAUUGAAGGGGAUAAGGAUGGAAGGUGAGGAUGUUCAAAGGAUACUGUUGAAUUUGCAUUUUGUUAACCAAAUUAGGGCUAUUCUUUGCGUUAAUUUGGAAGGAAAUUCAAAUAAAGAAGGUUGGCAACAUAGGCUGAAGUAGUGGGUUGAUGGACUCAGGAGAGGGCAAAGAAAAUGAGGAGUGGUCGAUUGAGAUUGUAGACAGUAAGAAGAGGCCUAUAACGGUUUUUUCUCUACUUCUAAAGUUUUUGCAUGUUAGUAAGAUGAAAUUGGUUUGAUGGAAGUGCGAGUUUUUGCAUGGUACUGAGCUUAGUGUUAGUGAUACUUGUGGUGGGUGAUCAAUGAUCUAGAGACAAAAUUGUGUUGUUGAUUUGUGAAGCUUUUCUGCUAGCCACAUCCACGUUGAUGUUCUAGAUGGAAAUAGAUGGCGACUAGCAGAAUUUUAUGGUAAUCUUGAAAAAAGAAGAGGACAUAAUCGAAAUGAUCAAAACUGAAAAUGUGGUUUAGGUGUGAGAUUGGUUAAAGUGUCCACAAAUUGUAUUUGCGUAUCAAAAAAAGAAAAAGAGAAAAUAUAGAGAGCAUCUAUUAGACCCAGAUCACUAAAUAAUCCAAGUACCACUCUUCUUUUUUUUUUCUUUUUUUUUUGAAAAAAGUUCAAAAAUACUAUGAUGGCCCCAUUACUUUAUAUAUUUAUUUCAUCUGUAAUUUAGUAAUUUUAAAGUUUCUUUUAUUUUUCAUACUCUUUUAUUGUUGGUGAGACAGUAUUUAUUGUAUGUAAUGUAAACUUGGCGUAAUGAUGAUAUUAAAUAUUAUAAUAAUAUUGUAACGUAAGAUAAAAAAAAUAUUAUUCCCUAAAAAUAGAUGUACAUAAAGAAAACCCUAAAAUGUAAUGUAGUGGAUCACUUUGUUUUUGGAUUUGGGUUUCAGUUGGGCAGAGGACACAUAACUAAGUGAAAAUGAUUGAAAUAAUUGAAAUGAUGUAUGCUUUUGAUUUGAAUGAUGAAAAUGUAAAAAGAAGAAGAAGAAGUUGCAAUAAAUAAUGGAUAACUGCUUAUGCUAGUGAAUAAUGCAGUGCAAUGAUGCAUAGGAAUGCCAUGGCAAAUGAUGAAGAUGCAUAUGCAUACAAUGACGCUUGUGCAGCGUAGGGAUGUAUAAUAAUAGUUAUAAUAAUAAUUUCCAUCAAAAGAGCUCAGCUUACAAAGGGCGAGCGCAGCCGGUGGCCCACUGUAGACUGGACCCAGACCGAAUGCUAAGACAGACAAUAUUACAGUAAUCGAAAAGAGAAAAAAAAGUAAAAAGUCUCGAACAAAGAAUAGAACAGCCAACAAAAAUAAAUUUCUAGUGUGCUCUUGCAAUUUCAAGCUUUAGAGGUAGAAAAGAGAUAUUUGGAAAUUCUAUUUCACCCUUUAAUUUUAUGAAAUUAUUAUUUUAGUUUUUUACUUAAUUUUUAGUUUCUUUUAGUUUUCAAAAUUGAAUUAUUUAUCAAAUCGUUUAAAAUGGAUAAAAAAUUAAUGUUUGUUAAUUUUGUUGAGGUGACAUUCACGGAGUAAUCUACGUAUAUGUCACGUUAGCAAAUAAUUAAUCUUUUAAAAAUAAAAAAUAUUUUUUUAAAAAUAAAAAAAAUAAUUAAUUGUUGAUGUAACAUUCACAUGGCAAUCCAAGUCAAUAUUAAUAAACAUUAAUUUUUUCAGUCAUUUUAAGGUGAUUUAACAAACAAUACAAGUUUAAAGGUUGAAAAAAGAGAAAAAUUAUAUAAAAAACCAAAAUAUAUUUUUUUUGUAAAAAUUAGAAGACUAAAUAAAUCAUCAUAUCUUUUUAAAUAAAAUUUAUUUUGUUAACCCACAUUAUUAUUUAAAAAUAAUAAAAUAUAAUUUAUAUAAAUGUUUAUAUAUAUUAUAAUUAAAUUUAAAUAAAAUAUUUUAAAAAAUAAAAUUAUUUAAAUGUAGAUCCAUGAACAAAAAUUGGAUACCAGAUCUGAUCUGCACAAUUUAUGAAAAUUCAAAUUAGGGUGUUAAACUUAGAAAAAUAUUUGUAAACCCUUAGAGAGUAGGGCACAAUAUUUCUAACAUUUUGUAUAAAAAUAAUGGUUGAAUCGUUUUAGAGAUCCCAUGGUUUGUGAGCCCCCUAUUUUAGGGUUUAUAUGCCUUUAUUGGUUUUUUGCGGAGAUCGUGCCCUCACUUUCACAUGUCCAUGGGCUUCGCCGCGUUGGAUUCCUACAUAAUUCCUUUUUGCAUCUCUUUUAUUAUUAAAAAUAGGUUAAAAUAUGACAACAGUCCUUAUAUUUUUCGAAACUUUAGAAUUUAGUCUCUAUACUUGUAUUUUUAGAUUUUAAAAUUUAAGUCUAAUUAUUAAUAAUAAUAUUAUUAUUUUGUUAAUUUCAGAUUAACUACAUCAUAUUUCUUAAUUACACGACUAUCAAGUGAGUAGUUUUUUUAGUUUUAAAAUAUUAUUGCAACAAAUUUAAUAAUUGAAUUUAAAUUUUAAAAUAUGAAAAGUGGAAGGACUAAAUUAUAAAAAUUUGAAAAAGUAAAUGAGUAUAGAAACAUUUUAUCUUUAAAAAAAUAAAUAGAUAUAUUUUAUCUUUAUUUUUAAAAUAAUAAUGAUCAAAUUACAAUCUUAUACGGAAUUAAAUUAAGGAUGAGGAAAUGGAGGAACCAAGUAGGUAUCUUCAUAAUGAAAUCAUGUCCAAACUCAAAAGUUACUAAAUAUUAUUAUUUUAUUUAAUCCUAUUUUUACCAAAUUUAUACUAUGGAUGGAAUGAUGUCGGUUUUAUCUUAUUUCAGACAAGACCACAAUGUCAAUGCCAAUAGCAGCCAAUCAAAAGUCAAAAGUUAGCUUCACGUAUGGAACCGGAAUUAUAAUUUACUAAAAUAAUGUGGGUUUUCGCAGUUUUUCGUAAGCUCCCCACAGCAAAAAGAGAAAGCCUUUUGUUUAUAAAUAACCAUGUCCCCUUUCCUUCAUUUUCUCCUUUAGUAAGCUAACACGCCAUUAGAAAACACCGAUUGUUUUAUUGUUUUUAUGGGUGGGAAAAUGGAGUUAGAGCAACCCGUGGUUAUAGAAGCAAGUGAAGCAGCCACUAAAGUGAAGCCUGCAAAUGAUCAUAGCAAGAAUAUGCCGUCGUCACCAUCAGCAUCAACAUGGUCCCAUGUUUCAAGCAGAUUGUGCCAUGGCUCGGAAUCAUUCAGGAACCUAGAGAUGGGGGUACCUAAAGUUAACUCAUAUGAAAAAAAGCUGUCAUGGUUACGAUCCCAAAUCAUUGGUGGCGAUGCCGAGUUUGAAUCUCCUUUUGGAACCAGGAAACUCACUUACGCUGAUAACACUGCAUCGGGUCGUUGUCUUCACUAUAUCGAAAAUUUCAUCAUUAACAAUGUUCUUCCCUUUUACGGUAAUAAAGAGAUCUCUCCAGUUUUUGUUUUCUGUUUUGUUUUUUUUUUAGUGGUUUGAUGAUAAGUGAUGGAAGCUUUUGUCGUGUGUUUUUAGGCAAUACCCAUACGUGUGACAGCUAUGUGGGGCAAAGGACGACUAAAAUGGUGCAUGAAGCAUCGAACUACAUUAAAAGAUGCAUGGGAGGCGGCGAAGAUGAUGCAAUCCUGUUUUGUGGAUCAGGAACUACAGCGGCCAUUAAGAAGCUACAAGAAGUUAUGGGCAUUACAGUGCCAUCAAUUAUGAGGGACAAAGUAAUAAAGUGCUUAAGCAAUGAGGAGAGAUGGGUGGUUUUCCUUGGGCCAUAUGAACACCACUCCAACUUGCUCUCAUGGCGUCAAAGCCUUGCCGAAGUUGUGGAGAUUGGUUUAAACGAGGAUGGGUUGAUCGAUAUUGAAGCUCUAAAACAACAGCUCGAGUUGUUUAAAUACAGGAAUAGGCCUUUGCUUGGUACCUUUUCAGCUUGCAGUAAUGUCACUGGGAUUCAAUCAAAUACACGAGAGAUUGCUAAACUUAUGCACCAAUAUGGAGGUUUUGUUUGCUUUGAUUUUGCCGCAAGGUGACUACAACUUGUCAUUAAUUUUUAUAAAUUAAUCAAUUGAAUUAAAUUUUGAAUAUUUGGUCAUUUAUGAAUAGUGGUCCAUACGUGGCAAUGGAUAUGAAGUCGGGGGAGAUUGAUGGAUAUGAUGGUAUGUUCCUAGGCCCACAUAAGUUUAUAGGUGGACCUGGAUCACCCGGCAUCCUUUUAAUGAGCAAAGCUCUGUACCAGCUGGGAAAUUCUCCUCCAUCAACCUGUGGAGGUGGAACUGUUGAAUACGUCAAUGGUUUUGAUGAAAAGGUACUUGAUUGAUUACUCUUUUAUUGCCUUUUCAUUUCAUGUUUAAUUAUAUAAAUCCAUUGAAGGAGAUGAGGAGGGUUUGACAGGCCAACCCAUUAGGCAUUUUUCUUGGCUCAGAAUUUAGAGGGACUCUGCUGGUUUACAUCUUUGAUACUGACUACCGACUGAAUGGGAAAGUGUCUUUAAAAUGGACAGAAUUUUAUUUAUUUAUGCCACAUGCUAUAUGGCAAAAUUUUAUUUUUGGGAUACCGAUGUGAACCAACUGAGAGCAGACCAUUUUUAUUCCUUUAAAAACCUUUUUUAAUUUAUAUGAAGUUCUAGACAUUUACAUAGUCUUGAUUUAAAAAAGAAAAAAGAAAAGGUAAUUUAAUAUAACGUUUUUCAUAGUUAAGUGCAGGUUUGGUGACAUGAUCAAAUUUAAUGUUUAGAAUGUGAAUUUUAAUUUGUCAUGUAUGAUAAUAUUUUCAUAAAUUGAUUCUCAUGACUCAAAGAUGAUGGAAAGUUGUUUAAAAUGAUUAAAAAAUUAAAAUUUAAUAUUUAUAAAUAAAAAUAAAAAUAAAAAUAAAAAUCUUGCAUUUAAUACUUUAAAUUUAUUUAACAACAUUGUCAUCAAAUGAAUUUUGAUGACAUUGUACUCAAGACAAAAACUUUUUAAGACGGUUAGGUUUAGGGUUUGUUUUAUUAUUAUAAGACGAGAAGGGGAUGACAAGGUUUGAAUUUGUGCUAUCUAGGUACCACAUGAGAAUUCUAAUAAUUCUUUCAAAUAAUUUUGGCUAUUAUAAGAAUUAUUAAUAAAUUUUUGAAAUAAAUAUUCAUCAAUUAGUUAUUACAUGUAAUGCUUGUAAUAAGUAGAUCCCUUUUUCACUAAAUAUGAUUAGGUUAUUAAGUAUGUGACAAAUGCAGGACACGUUAUAUUUAAGUGACAUAGAAGAAAGGGAAAAUGGAGGGACUCCUCAAAUAAUACAGAUGAUAAGAGCAGCCUUGGCAUUUUGGGUGAAAGAAUAUAUUGGUUAUCAAGUGAUUGCAAAGCAAGAGAAGUCAUACAUACAACAAGCUUUAAACAGGCUUCUCCCCAAUCAAAACAUUAAGGUUUUAGGGAAUACAAGCAGCCACACAAAGAGACAAGCCAUUUUGUCUUUCCUCGUUUACUCCACAACCAACUCUGCCCCCAUUAGCAACCAAGAAGAUGAGCUUUUCAUGUGGGGUGAGACUGGGAAUAAGAGGGAUAAGCCUCUCCAUGGACAAUUCGUUGCCACUCUCCUAAAUGACCUUUUUGGCAUCCAAGCCCGAGGUGGGUGUGCUUGUGCUGGACCUUACGGUCACUGCUUGCUUGGUAUCGAUCAGACUCAGUCCCUUGCCAUUAGAGAAGCUAUUAAAAAGGUAUUCCUACUCUGCACUCAACACCCUACUAUAACAUUGAUUACGUUCAUAAUCACUAUAAAUACGAUGCAAUUGAAAAUGCGUUGACUUUUUCUAAGAGACAGCGAUAUCUGAUUUUGCAGGGCUAUGUUGGAGCAAAACCUGGGUAUACAAGAGUUGGGUUUCCUUACUACAUGUCAAAUGAGGAGUUUGAAUACAUUGUAGCUGCAUUGGAGUUUGUCGCCUUGUAUGGGCAACGAUUUCUUCCUCUUUACCAUUUUGACCUAAGAACAGGCAACUGGACGUUCAAGAACAAGGCACUCAUCAAGGACACCUAUGAUGAUGGCAUCCCUGUCCUGGAUUUGGCUACUGCUUUUCAGGCAAUAAACACGGAUCGUGAGAGCGACAAAAUCGAUGCCAGAAAAAAGGACAAUUCUUCUGUCGUUCCAAAGUAUUCAUCGUAUUUGGAAAGUGCUAAAAGAAUUGCUGCUUUACUUCCCAAGUUUCCAUCUCAACGAAGGUUUCAAGAAGACUUUGGCGUUGAACUCUAUUUCAGGGUUUAGUAUGUAAACCCUGAACCAUACUAAUUAAAGAAUUCAUUCCACUUGAUAAUCAUAUAAUAUUAUUUAAUUUUUUAUCUCACGAUGUAAUGGAAUGUUCUCACAACGCAUAUGCAGAAAAUAAAAUUAAGGGUAAACUACAAAAUUAGUCACUUUUAGUUGUCUUAGAUUACAUUUUAAUCACUUAUGUUUGAAAUGUUACGUUUUAGCCACUUACUUUAUCGUUUUGUUACGAAGUGGUCACUCUAUCUUUAAGCUCCGUUACCUCCUUAAUGGUGGUCCUACGUGGCAGUCGAAAUGGGUUUUAAAUGCCAACUUGGAUGUCCUACGUGACAAUCCAAAUUGAAUUUAUUUAAUUAAAAACCUAUUUUCAUUCCAACAACUGGACAUCCAAGUUGGCAUUUAAAACCCAUUUGGACUGCCACGUAGGAUUACCGUUAGGGAGGUAAUGGAGUUCAAUGGUAAAGUGCCCACUUCGUAACAAAAUGAUAACGUAAGUGACUAAAACGUAACAUUUCAAACAUAAAUAACUAAAAUGUAAUCUAAGGCAAACAAAAGUGACUAUUUUUAUAGUUUACCCUAAAAUUAAAUUAUUGCUCAAACAUGGUAUGUUAGGUAAACAAGGAAGAUGGCAGAAGCUAUACCUGGUGAGAUGCAACUUGAAUACCCUAUGAAAAAUAUUAAAACACACAAAUUCAACAAGAUCAUUCAGGUAUAUACAAAUAUAUUAAAAUUUGUAUAAGUUGAGUUAUUUACAUGUCAAAAUCUUUAUGCUACGUAUAUCACAUGCUAAUACUUUAAAAGCGAUUAUGGUAGAACAUGACAUGUAUUCAUGAAAUGCCAUGUUAGCAGACAUUCCAAUUACGCGAAAUCCAGAAACUCAAUUUGUUUAAACCAGUCUAGCAAUGGCCACACUUUAUGAAAAUAAAGGCGAGCAACAGGAUAUGAAUGGCAAAAACUAUACCAGUAAACUUUCAGUUACUUUUAUAACUAAAAGGAUACAAAAUAAAAGAAUUUCCAUUUGGAUCACUCACAAAAUUCAUUUAGAAUUCUACAGCUAGCAGCAAUGAUUCUAUUUUGAAUGUCAGGCCAGCACUACAUGCAAUGGUGUGUUGUAUAUCUCUCUUGUAAUAAAAGUAUACAAACGACUGAGCUUGGGAAAAAAUCUGCCCAUUGACCAGAUAUCUAGCAGAUGUAGAAAAUGAGGAUGGCUCAAUUGAUUAACAGUAUGCAAUCAAGGGAGUUUGCAGAGAAGCAAAAAUUGCCUUCAUUGAGCAUACAUCAUGCAGAAACGUCAACUCUCUAGCAGAUAAUGUAAGACCAGGAUAAAGCCCAUUGUAACUUUUCAGCAAAACUGUAAGACCAGGAUAAAGCCCAUUGUAACUUUUCAGCAAAACUGUUUGGUAUUCCCCGAAAAGAAAAGGAUCUACAGUUAAAUUCAACAUAUAAGAAUGCUUUUACAACAUAGACUAAUACCAUUUAUGUUGCAAAAGAAAUUCGAGAGAGAGAGAGAAAAAAGAAAAGGAACAACUCAAAUUGAAAUAUUACUCAUGACUAAGGAGGAAAAACAUUACCAUGAUUUCAAAGGAAAUGACUGGCCAUCAAAAGUUGUGGCUUCUCCUUCUCUUCUUCAACCUCCAUUGAAGCUUCAGCUUUUAUUUCUUCAACCCUCUUAUCCCAAAUAUUAUCUAUGAGCUUCCACGUUUCAUCACUGACCGUUUGAGUCUGUACAAAUAAAAUCAAAAAGCAUUUUUGUCAGAACUCAGAAAUGAGAUAUAUGAUAAAACUAAGUCUUGUCCAACUUGCCUCCUUGGGACGUGGUGCGCCAAAAGUUGAAAACCCAGAACUUCCAGGUGCAAACGUUACCCUCCCUGGAAGUGUGAUCCCAUGGAUUCCCCAUCGCCCAGCAUAAAUUAGGGCUCCAUAUUCGUCAACUGGAUUGACAGUAGGCUAUACAAUGGGCAAAAGCAUCAAUCAUGCAUUUCAUUAAAAAUAAUGAACUAGUAGUCAUUAAUCAAUAAGCAUUCCACCAUUUAAAACCGCACCUCUAUAGCUUAAACAUACAACUCUAACAUGUACUGCUCAAAUAGCAAAUCAAAACAAUCAUAUAAAACCAGAAUUUCAGCCAUAUCACUACCAAGGUACAGUUAUUUCAAAGGUCGGUUCAUAUUCAAGAAAAUUAUUAUGGAUUCUCUUAUGUAUUUUCUUAAUGUAACUUGAUUUUCCCUAAAACGACUGCCAUGAGAUAUUAUCAAGAGACUAUCAUAUGUUAACCUUUCAGACUCCCACAAGAUAUACGGUCAAUUGUGAUUAUAGUUCUAAAACUAGUCUCAUGCAAAGUAAUUAUGCCCAGACCGGUUAAAAAGAAUGGUUCAAGAUGGAAUAUCCUAAGUGAGAGAAUACAAAACAUUGGACUUUAUUUUUAUAUUUUCUUAAUUGUAACUUUUAUAAAUAUUUAGGAUAUUUUGGUGCUUUAUUCUAAUUAUUAUUUUACUUCUUUUCCAAGUAUUAGGGUUUUUACAGUUAUAAUUUGGUAUUUGCAUUUUAUUAGGUUUCAGGUUUAGUUAUAAAAAUUUAUGCUAUUUUAGUAUUAAGGUUUUGAAUCAUGAAUUUAGAUAGUUUAGGAUACUGACAUAUUGAUUAUUGAGAUUUUCUCCACAUUGCUUCUGUGGUUUUCUCCCUCUAGUUUCUAUGUUUCUCCCCUAGUUUCCUCUAUUCCUUCCUAAUUGCUCCUGUCUAAUACUGCUUUUCUCUUUGUAGUUAUAUCAUUUCCCCAUACUUGCUCUUAUAUCAAACAAGCAGUAUAUCAGUGGGGAAAAAGGUUAUAUUUUAAUUGAAAACAACCAGAUCAAAGAUAAUCUGUAUAGAAUAUCUGUCAAUAAAUAAUUGCAAAUGUUCAUAAAUUUCCACAUUAGAUUCAUCUAAGAAAACAUAGCGGCUUUUCCCAAAGAAGAAUGUACAUACCGAAGCUAGGACAACCAUAAUAGAAUAAUAAUUAUUGAAUCCUAAGCUAUAGAGCCUUUUUGCAUUUAGAUUUUCUCUAAACAUGCCAUUCCUUGAAUCAAAAACUACCUGAGGUAUUCGAGGUGCUCUAUUGUAUAUAUCCCAGAUUUCCUCUGCUUUAAUCUCUCCCUUUUCAAGUAAAAUAUCUGCAAAAUGUAAAACAUGGAGUCAAGCAUUUAAGUAUUUUGUUGUACAUGGUCCUUUUGUUGCAAAAAUUCAAAAUUUCUCAGUACAAUUAAGAUAACUGAAAUAAUUGUGUUAGCCCAAAAAUUUUAUGCAAUAUAGGAAUUAGUUUAAAGAAUAAUGAAUUAACUAUAUGAAAACAAUUAACCUGUGAUUGUCUCUACAGCUGAAUAGAACUCCCUCAGCACAGAUGCACAUUUUUCCACAGAAAAACGCAUGUAUUCGUCACGAAGUGCUUCAAGUUUCGCCGCAAGCUAAACAUGAAGUUAAUAAUGCAAUCAAUGUCAAUUCAUAAAACAUCUUCAUGAAGUGCUAUAAAGAUUUAACAGCCACAAACUGCAAACAUACAUUAGGCACAAGAUCAUUUUGAUUUCUGUAGUAAGCUUUUCCAAAAGCUGUCAUCCCUGUCUGCAAAAUUAAAAACUCUGCAAGCCUAGAAGCUUCUAAUGUAGCUUUUGCUGAGAUCCAACACAUGUUAUCAACCCCAAACAUCUCCUCCUCAAUUACUCUUGCUGCAAAUUUCAGCUACCAGUCAGCCAGACUAUACUUAUUGUCAGAGGGGAGAAAUAACAAAGUACUGUAAGGGAAGUUAUCGAGAUUAGCAUUUGAUAACAUGAAAGACCAGACAGGAUUAAGGGCCAACAUACAGUAGCAAGGAACCUUACUUAAGCAGGUCGAGGAGGGUGGGAGACUUAACCAUCUUGUUUUCAAAUAUAAACUAUAAAGAGCUCUAUUCUUAGAGUCAAGCUUACAACCAUGGAAUUGGAAACUAAAUGACACAGAGUUCAAUUACAAUCUUCAUUUUCUAGGGCAGAUUUACUUUCCCCUUAUUUUUACACAAGGUGGAAAGUGGACAUUUCAACUUCAAAUGCACUGAACUUCAUGGAAAUCAAAGACAAGAAUAAUACACAAAAUUCAGCUAGUAAACUAAUAAAAAAAUCAAUUAUGAUGAUAAUGGAUAAAAGUUUUCAUUACUUACGAGCACAUGCACGCACUAUAGAGCUUAUGUAAUCUGAUUUUCUCAAGAAAACCUUCCCCGAAAAUUCAGCAUAGCGCAUAUUUGGCUGGCUACGGAUGGACUUUAUAUCCGUCUGUAGGAGAUAAACAUGAAGAUUUGAUCAAUAACUGUGAAAACAGGCUGAGCAAAAGAAUAAAAACUGUGAAAACAGAAAAUAUCACAGAAGCAAAUGGUACUACAAGUAUAUGAACAGGUGAUGUUAUCUUAAUGCAGUAACCUCUGUGAAUGGGCGGUAGGGAUCUGGAAAGUAGCAUGCGAGAACAGCAACAGCUGCUUCUCGAUAUGCUAAUCUCAACUUCAACUCCUCUGGAAUUUCUGUACUAUCUUCUUGGCCUGUUUCAAAUGUGCCCUUUUGCUGGAAAGUAAAAUUAUGAACAAAGUGAGAAAGUGACAAUCAAUAUGUUGAAUCAAUAGCCAUAUGUAAGGAAUGUAGACUAACCCUCUUCAAAGCCUCUAGAAGUUCUUCACGUCCAAUGUAAUCAAGAUCUUUUCUGGCAGUCAAAAUUCCAGCCUCAUUCCUAUCAUCCCAGUUUGGAAAACAUUAGUCCUCCCAAAUGUUAAGUGGUAUAAUUAAAAAGUAAUGAGAUAUAUAGUUAUGUACAAUAUAUUUUGAAGCUCAGCCCCAGUGAAAUCUUCGGUAAGCAUUGCAAUUUCCUCCAGGAGAGCCUCUUUAUCCUCUUCAGACCGAAAAAAUUUAUUUCUAGCAUGGACCUGUAGGAUACAAAAAUGAAAUAAUAUAAUAAGACACAAAAGCAUACAUGAGAACAUAAAGGCUUUUAUUACAAUCACAUUAAACAAAUACCUUCAAUAUGGCCAAUCUGCCAUCUUUAGAUGGCAACCCAACUCUUAUUAUCUUGUCAAACCGACCCUUUCUCAGGAGAGCAGGAUCAAGAAUAUCCAGUCUAUUUGUUGCACCUAUAACCAACACCUGACAAGCCCAAAUUUAGGAUUGCAUCAGAAAAGUCCACUUAAAAUCCAAGUAAAUACAAAAUUUAAUACCUGUGAUGUAGAAACUUUAAAUCCAUCCAUCUCAGUCAGUAUCUGAAGCAGACCCUGUUCCCUUUCUGCACCACCCUAUAUAGAAAAAUUACAUUCACAAAACCAUAGAGCAAAGUCAGACAUUAAUAUGAGAGCCAAUAGGUGAUAAUACAAGGCUAAGUUAGGACAUUGCUAUGAAAAAAGAGCUUUAUAGGCACAUCUAUCCCAACAAUAUUUUAUACUAAUAUGGCAACAAAAAGAUCCAAGGUUCAAAAAGCAAUUUGUGUGGCAAUCCAUUUGAAUUAAGAAGCCUAGCAUGAGCUCUUUAGUUGACUGUCGAGAAUAUGUGGAUAGAAAAGAUCCCACUGCAAAGUUUUAGGAUAAUGUUACAUGCCUUGUCUGAUAUCAAAAUCAAGAAGCUAAUUUCCAAGGAUACAUGCAAAGUUUUUUUGUGUGUGUGCUACACUCAAGCUAAAACUUUUCAUUGAAAAUGGAAGUAAAGGAAACACUAGCAAGUGAAAGAUUAAUUACGAUAAUACUUGAUAUCCGGACCAAAUUAGACAAUGCAAUGAAGCAAACUCAUUAAUAAAAUCAUCUACUUUAAGAUUAUCAGCUAUGAUGAGAGAAUUUUCUUUGCUUUAUGUUAUAUAGCAUACUUUAGGAAAUAGUGCUUUACUUCACUACCUUUUUUUUUCUUGGAUCUUCACCCUCAAGAAAAGUACAGAUUCAAUAUACUUUCAGAAACUAUUGUGAUUAUGAUGAUUUAUAAGGAAAAAGUGAUCUUAUUUUUUUCAUCUUAACAUUACAUCUUUAUCACACUACAGCUAAAAGUAAAAGGAUCGGCCUUUUAAUGUUAUUAGCACUUAAGGGUGCCAGUUGCUCAAGUUGGAAAUAGAACACCUCUGUCUGACCUUUAAGCUUUUCCCCAAUAGAUAAGAGAAAGAAGAUAAUAAAAAGUGAGUUAUCCAUUGACAACAACAACAAAAAAAAGGUAAUUUGUCUUACACCACCGAUAUCAGGCCCCCCACGCUUACUACCGAUAGCAUCAAUCUCAUCAAUAAAAAUUAUGGAAGGUGCAAAUGAUCUUGCAUUAGCAAACAGGUCCUUCACACGUGAUGCAGCGACUCCAACAAACAUCUGGCAAGUUAUAUCACUAUAUCAGCCAGAUUUCCAGUUCCAACAAUUUCAGAUAGGCGACAAUAAAAAGGAAAUAAAUUACAACAUGAAAAUAAAAUUCAAUGAUAUACCCUGACUAAGAGACUUUAAAAAAUUCAGGGCCAUCAGGGAGGCAACAUGAAAAAAGUUACUAAACGAUGCAUGAACAUUGAGAUUUUAAAGUAGCAGAACUCGAGGCACAUUGCAUUAAACAGACUAGAGGAAUUGUGCGUUUAAACAAGGCUUCAACAGAUGCACAUUUAUAUAUGUGUAAAGGUUAAAAUAAAAGAAUAAAAAAGAGAAUUACCCAGAGUCGGUGCAAAAAGUAGUGGGAUGACAAAAUUAAGGCAUGGAUUAAAGUAAAGAGAACAGCUAUAGACAAGAUGAAUGAUCAGACCAAUUCAAGAUUUCCCUAUCUAUGACCCUUUAAAAUAAAUAUAGCAACCGGAUUUAAAAGCAACCAAGAAUGAAGAAGUAAACGAGCAGAAAAAGAAAGAGUCAACAGUUUCAGGGGGGAAAGGCAAUUAAAAUUUCUCUUCCAAUUUCACUUGAUUUAAGGCCAUAAUUUUCCAAAGAAGUUUAGGAUAAAGCCUAAAUAUAAAGCAUCUGAAAAAUCCAAAAGAUAACUCAGAUAAAUUGAAAGAAAUGAAUUUUUUGUGAAGAAACCAGCCUUCACCUCUACGAAAUCAGUGCCGUUUGCUGCAAAGAAUGGUAGUCCUGCUUCACCAGCAAUAGCUUUGGCCAGCAGUGUUUUACCAGUCCCAGGAGGCCCAUGGAGCAAAACACCUUUAGGGCAGUAAAUACCUUUGUUUUGGAACUCCUCAUCAUUUUUUAAAAUUCGUACAAUCUCUUGUAAUUCUCUCUUGAUAUAUUCUUGGCCAGCGAAAUCCUCAAAAGUAACACCAGUUCUUUCCUCUGCUGAUAUAAAUUUUGCACUGGUUAAAGGCAGUAAAGUUAGAGCCUGGUAGAAUGAUUUUGUUAUCAACCAUCCAAAACUACAUUCACCACAUAAUCACCUAAAACUCAUUCUAACCCAACAAUAAAAAACCUUAUUGAAAGAAUGUAGGCAUAACUAAAUAUUCGUGAAACAAUUGAAUGUGAAGUGGAAAAUCUACCUUUUGAAGGACUAAACAAAUUAAAAUCUUAAAAUUCAGCAGUUUUCAACCAUCAUUUAAAUUAUAGUUUAGAGUGAUUACUCUAUUUAUCUAGAUUAUAACAAUGCCUCCUUACCUGGAACAUUAAAGAUGCAGACAAAGCAACUUCAGAAAAGAUGGUUCAAUAGUAUUAAUAUGCAAAAAAGCAGGUUUCUUGCUAUAAUGUAUAGACAAACAAAAACAAUGCAAUAACUCUAGAAAUUCGAAACUUUGAUAAAAUUCCCACGAUGAAACAACAAUUAUAACAACUAGAGAGCAAUGAAGAAAAGACACAUGCAUUUAAUAUUAUAAAACAGAGGGAAAUAAAAUAAAGAGAACAGAAUAUAUAAAAGGAACGGAGAACUGCAAAAACAAGAUUCUAUCCAGCACUUAAGGGACACUUUGAAUAUUACGGGUAUCAUACUGUUUGAUACUAGAUCCCAAGUCAAAGUUAACAUUCAACAAGCACAAGAAUAUGGACACAGGUGGAAAGGUAUCUUGAGUCAGAAUCAAGUAAAUAGUGAGGCUGACAACCUUUCCUUACCCAACUAAAUAUCUUUCUUCAUGCAACACUACCUCAACAUUUUAAUCUAGGUAAAAGAAUGAAGAACAUAUUCUAAAUAUUGAGCAAGCGGCAUGACUAAAACCAUUGAGCUGAACAUUGGUAAAAAAGGUCACUGGCCUCGAAAAUGUAGCCAGGUUUCACUCAAUCUACUGAUGACUUGAAAAACACGAAGCAGUAAAUUAACUAAAUAAAACCAAACCUCUAUUAGGGGGCACUAUAGAAAGAGAGCACCUAAUGUUCAUCUGUCAUGAAUUAAUGGAAACAGUAAACAAGCUAGGUGAUAUCAUAGGCUACCAUACAGCAGAAUAAAAAAUAACUUAUCAACAACUAACCCAAUGGGAAAUCAUUGUUUGCUUACCGACUCUGGCCUAAUGAUCCAAGGGCACGGCGCUUGAGUGGUUGUCUAAUUUUUUUGUUAGGAGCUCCCAAAUCACAAGGUAUUAGCUUUGCAUAAAUGGGCCUCAUCAUAUUAUCAAUCCAGAGAUAUAGUGCAAUUGACAAGGCAAGUCGCAUAGACCAUAUUACUGCAGUUGCAACAGACGAGUAGACCUCUGCAGGUACAGUAUCAACAUUCAAGACAUCAACAUUCACAAUUUGUUGGUGAAGCUUCUGCCAAACAUCAUUCCAACAAUCAAUGGGCAUGCGGUUCACUACAUGGCGCCGAAAAACUAUUUCAUUCUUUGAAUUCCCCCCUGUUCCGUCCACUUCAUUAUCUUUGUAGUAUGGCAAAAUCACUGCAGGAAGCUCAACAGAGUUCAUGAAAAAGAAAAAGAACAAGUAACUAUAGGCUUUGGCAAUCUGCAGGAUGAUGCAACAAUGGUUCUAUCAGCCAACCCAAGUCAAUCCAGUGAAAGCUCCAGUGAAUAGUUUAUGAAUGACUUAAUUAACAUACAUAUACACAACCAUCAUGUGGAUCGACCAAAUUAACAAAUAACAUUUAGUUCAAGCCAUUGAGAGUAAGAAAGCAAGUGGUUCAAAUCAAAUAUCAUAUAACCAAACAUGCCUGAGAUAUGCAAUAGAACAUGAAAAGAUGAUCUAUGUCACUCAGACUCGGGGGAUAAAUGUAAGAUAGAACUAUGCGUUCGGCACAGGGACAUUCAGUUUUAAUUUUUAUUAUACUUUGGAGGGUCAGACCUCCAUACCCAUGUCUAUCAAAUAUGUGUUUGACAUGAUUACUUCAAGAAAAAUGGAGAUAUGGAUCGCUUAGGCUACAAUGUUAUUGAAUGAAGUAAGCAAAAGAAAACCUUUAGGAUGUAAAAAUAUGAAAAAAGCUUAAGAAAUACCCAACAGAAAGAUCAAUGUCUCAGUCCAAAACCAUAUACCCAGAACUCAUGAUGAUACCUAAGGAUACCAAUCUAGAAUCUUAGGAUACAAAUUGAGUAUUCAAUAUUUGGAUCACUUCAUUCCAGUUAUUCAAUAAGCAUCCUAGACUUCAGGUACCAAUAGCAAUCCCAGGGUCAGUAAAAUAGGAAAACUUUGGUAGCUUUGAUAACUGAGAUAAAAAGCAGUAUACCUAAGUCUACGGUUUGCUUCCAUCAUUUGGUUCACAAUAAAUAAAAUGAUAUCCAAGUUCUUUGAAAGGCUUUAGAUCUGAUGGGUGUUACUCAAGUUCAUUUUGGAUUUAGGACAAUGUGCUUCUUCAAUCUGAUUUACUGAUGUGCUACAAUCUUAAAAUUGAAGAAAUGAACUACAAUAGAUUAAGUGAAGAGCAGAGAUCUAAAGGUUCAAUGUAAACAACAAAACUUCAUUACCUGAAACUGUCUGACCAUAAUUCGAAUACUCCAUAAAUUGGACAUUGUUUGAGUUAAGAAGUCCCAUAAAGUCACUGAAGUCAAUUCUGUGUGAAUUCUCAGGAUCCCACUCUGUCCCCUUCAACUUUCCACGCAAGGUCAACAGGGCUCUGCUCCAACAGGAAGCCAUGACAAGCUGUCUUUCUAACUGCAAGUCAGCCUUCCUCUCAAGCUCUUCCAGUUUAUUUAUUCUUUGCCUCUCUGCAUCUUUUAAUUUCUGGAGUAUUGUUGAAAUCAACAAAAGUUAAUAAUAGAUAAGGGCAAUGUAAUUCUACAGUCCAUGGCCCUAGCUCCUUAAAGUGCAAAUUCUGGAGGGAAAAUUGCCAACACAUUAAGUCUUUGUUUCAAGCAAGUUUGAACUAUACUUUUGCAAGAACAAAAUUCUAUGAGAUAAAGAGUGGUUUUACUUGCAAUGUUCAGAUACCACGCUGUAGCAUCAUAUUUAUACAUAACAAAAGGGAAGCACCCAUAUCAACUCGGAUAUACCAUUUUACUGUUCCAGCGAAUCAUUAAAGAACUUAAUUCUUAUUCCAUUUAAAGAAAAAGGUUCCCAUAUAAUUAGGAAAUUUUGUCCAUCAGUGUAAAAACAUAGAGCUGAUAAGAUGUAAUACUGGCUAUUCUUAGAUUAUAAUUACAGAAGUAUCCAUGUUAACAAUAGGAUGAAACUUCAUAUAUAUCCACUGUAAUAAUUAAAAACCAUACAAACAGAUGAAGUAUCCCACAUAUACGAAAUCAAAAAGCAUUUCAUAAUCCUGAACAAACUACACAACCUAUUCAGAAUCUUUAAUUUGCAUCAAAUAUCAUUAGACUUAUGUGGCUAAAUAUAAGGUAAAGAACUUAAAUUCUUUUUCCAUUCAAAGAAAACCAUUACUAUAUGAUUAGGAAAUAAUAUUUUGUUCAUUAGUGUGAAAACAUAGAGCCGUAAAAGUGUUCCAUAUGAAAGUAACACAUGUUGUUGCAUUUCCUACUUGCUCUCUCAAAAUACACCUCCAGACCUAAGUGUCCCAUAUGAAAGCAAAACGAAGCCUAUCAUCAUUCACAAAAUCUAAACUUUUAACUUCUAAUCUUUCAAAAUUACGUUUUGAUUUCCACUUUCCGCACCCAACAUUAUUUUCUCAUUGAGAAAACGGACUAUAUCGUUAGUAAAAAAAGAAAACUGGAAAUGAGGAAAUUUUAAAAAGAGAAAAAGAAACCUCGAAUAACUGAGUGGACUCAACAUCUUCUUCCUCGACAAUGUUGGAAGCGACAGUUGAGUCGGAACUCGAACAGGAAGUGGAAUGGUUGGAAACAUCAAUAGUGAUGUUUUCGCGUUUAGUAAAGCUUAAUUUAGGUUUGAGAGUGUUUUUACGGAGUGGUUUAUUGCGAGAAAAGGAAUAAUAGGGGAAUUUAUCGAGAAGAGGUUUAGAUGAGUUGCAGAAGACUGUUGGAGCUUCGACGAAAGUAAUUGGUUUAGAAAGAUAAGAAUUCAUUUCCUUUUCUAAAAAAAGGAAAAUUAUGCUUCACUUUCUCUCACUUUCUAGUGCGGGAAAAUGCGGGAGAAAAUGUUGGGACUUUAUCUUUGCCUCGUCAAAGCAUGCUGGGAACUGGAGUUGAUUUUUUGGGUUUUGGGAGAAGAACAAAACGCUGCGUUUUCUAUAUAGGCUUCUUUUAAAAUAAAAAUAAAAAUAAUGAAGAAACUCAUGAUUCAGUUGGGUAAUAUUUGGGGCGAGGCCCAAACAUACUGCUACUUAUUUUGCUUCUUGUUUAUGGUGAAUAAUUUUACUAAUUUUCUAUAUACAAUAAAAUUUAUUUAUUCUUGAAUUAUUUCACUAACAUUCUAUUCACCAUAUACUUACAUCGGUAUUAAAUUAAAUUAUUUUUUGUAUGAUUAAUAUUUUAACAAUUUAAUUAUAAUCAAUUAUACAUUUUAUGCUUCAUUCAUCCGUAUAUCAAGUUACCAUAAAUUAAAAUUUUAUAAUUAUUUAUUAUACAUAAAAAAAAUUUCAACAAUUUAAUAUAUAUUAAUACAAACAUGGAUUCGAAAAUUUACUUUAAAUAAAAUAUUUGUUAACAGUGCAAACUAUAUAAAUGCAUUGAAAUUCAUAAAAAAUUGGAGCAAUUAAUUAUUUAAUAUUAAAAUUAAAAUUAAUAUCUUAAUUAACCUAACAAGUUUCAUAUCAAUCCUUGGCAAAAUUCACAAUAAAAUAUAAAAAGGAAAAAUCCUAAACAAUGGCUUCUUGAAGUUGAUUUUCUUUUUUUAUUUCUUGUGAAAAAAGAAUAAGAUUUCUUUCCAAAUUGAUGGAAAGAAAUUUAAGAAACUUCCUAUUUUCAACAUUAUAACAUUUUAAGAAAAUUAAUAUUUAUAGUUUCAAUAAAAAAAUAUUACAACUACUAAAUUAAAUUUAAAAAAAAAAAAAACUCAACAAACAACUAACUUACAACAUUGUAAUAAUUUUAGUAGUAAUAAAACGUUUAUUACUUUAGAUUUAAUAAAAUUUUAAAUUAUAUAAGUAUUAAUUCAAGAUAUAAGAUUAUUGUGAUGCAAUCAUUUCUGUUGUACGUGCAUUAAGAGAAUACUAAUCGUUCCCAAUGAUAUAAUAUAUAUUCUAAGUACUAUUCAUAAUUCAUUUCAACUUUUAAAUAAGAGGAUAAAUUAAUGCGCUUCAAUACGUUUGAAUCUAUAUCCUCCUUCACACCGAGUUAAGACUUCAUGCACAAAAUUAUUUUUCUUUUUUUGAAUAUUAAAUAAAAAUAGAGAUUAAUUUAGAUGGCCAAUUACAUCUAUACUUUUUGUAGCGUUAUAACAGUAUAUCAUACAUGAUGAUAGCACAUAGCUUUAGAAAAUAUGAGUUUGAUGAUUUCUUACGCAAAAUCAAGUAAUCUUUUUACAAUAUUCCAAUUUUUUGGAAAAUUAAUCAUGAAGAGUUCAAAUUUGAUUGAAGUAAAAUACUUUUUUUUUAUGGUAAAAAGGUAGUUCAUUUUUUUUUAAAAAAAGCAUGGUACUAACAAUUUUUUUUUCAUAUGAAAGUAUAAACAUACUGUAUUAUAUCUAAUAUUAUAUAAUAUACAUUUAGGAUAAUAUAAAAAUUUUAAAAAAAUUUAUUGUUUUAUUUCGAUCUCCCUUUAAAGAUGACUGCAUAUAUAAAAUUAUAAUAUUUUUGUUCUAAAAACUUAGUAUCUGUAGUCGAUUGAGUCUUAACUCGAGUAACAUCGACAUUGUUGUCAGUGUAGGAGGACAUGAGUUCAAGUGUACUGAAACGUAUUAUCCUCCUGUUUAAGAGUCUGAGAGAGACUAUAAAUAAUUUUAAGUAUUGGAUCAAAACUAACAAAUAUGAUAAUAUUUUUAGCAAAAUCUGAUAACUAUAAAAGAUAUAUAGAAGACCAAGAAAAACCGAAAUGAAAACAUUAAACAAAGCAAACAACCAAACAUUUGACACUGUUAAUCACAUAACACAACAGAUUGGACAUCAUGAAAUUCCAAUUGUUCUUUCCACGGUCAGUAAAAUAAAUUGCUUAACACAGACAGAUGACAUACAAACAUAAAGCAAACUAACAGUAAAUUAAAAACCACGCGCUGCAAGAAACACAUUUGUUGUUCACUUGUUCAGUUUCUCAGUAACAACCUUUUUAAUGUCAUCAGCAAUGGCGGAUGCAUCCAUGGACACACCAAACAGUCCCCUCCUUGAUAAUCCACAGCAAUACAAGUUCUUUUCUCCUUUCCAAUGGUGUGGGAAGUCAUUUUUAGGCAUCCCGGUUUCAUUCAGAACAUGCUUAAAAUCCUGCAUAUGAAAAUGUGGUUAUUAAUGACAACUUGUAAAUAAUUUGCAUUAUCAAAAGAAGAUUUCAUCAUAUGAAUAACUAAUUAUUAGGUUAAUUUUACUACAAACUAAUCACAAAUGAAUAAAUAUUAAAUUGGUCACGCGAGCACAGAAAAUCGAUUAUAUAUGAACACGUGACUUAUAAUAAAUAGAAAUCGACAAAAAAAUUGUUCAACGGUUUCAUAUUAAAUUGAAAUCGACAAAAGAGUUAACUGUGAAUUAACUAAAAAUUUAACGAUUUCAUAUUAAAUAGAAAUCGACAAAACAUAGAUUGAUUAAGAAUUUAACGGUUUCAUUAAACUCAGGCUAAGUCAAUCGAAAAAAAUAGCACGAUAGAUAAAGUUGACCAAAUUUAAUAGCAUUAGCCAAAUUAACCCUCAGAAAAAAAAAAUGGUUAGAUGAGAAUUCUUUAGUAAUGGGUAUGAAUGUUUAGGGUUUAAAGUUGUUUUAAUGGUUGAGAUAGACAAAGUUCCACUAUCUAAUCUAUAGUGAAUUUUUUAGUUAUGAUUCUAAAUGUUUGGUCUUUAGAUUGUAUCUAUUCAUUUGUUUUAUACAGCAACAAGAUUCGUAUGUCAUUCAUGCCAUCCGAAACUUGUUGCGUCGAGGUUGGGAUAUUAGUAUUAGGCAUGUGCAUCAAGAAUACAAUAAGAUGACUGAUUGUUUAGCAAAUGCUGCAGAAAAAAUGGUUAUUGGUCUGCAUGAGGAUAUUACCGGUUUAUUUUUUGCUAGAUUAAUUGCUAUGUAAUAGUUUUUACCUUCUUAAUAAAAAAAUAGAGUUUGGGACUUUUUUUUUUUUACCUUAAGCCAGUUAUUAGCUACACUUCGAUAGCCAGUUGCAAAAACAAUCACAUCGAAUUCUCUUUCAGCACCAUCUUCAAACAACACUUUCUUCCCAUCAAUACUUGAUAUCGCUGGAACAACCUACAUAGCAUCACAAAAAAAAAAAAAAAAAAAAAAAAAAACAAAUAGAUUUAAUAGUUAGAAAUCAUUUGAAGGGUUAUAUUUAGUUUCAAUUAAGAUUGUUAUAAUAAAGAUAUAAAUUUUUUUUUUUUACUUCCAAACAUAUUUAAGAACACUACAAAAUUCCAAAUGCUUUCCUUUCAUCAAUUCACAAAUAGAAUAAAUCUCUUAUAUAACAUGUUUAUAUAGAAAAUUGACGUUGUCUUUCAUUAAAAAGUGUUUAGUGAUUUGAAUUAAUUAGUGCAAAAUGAAAUCAAACAAGGAUUCUAUAUGGAUUCACUGACCGCAACACAAAUAAAUGGUAAGAACAAAAUAAGUGUUAAAAAAAGGAGAGCAUUCAGCACAAUUUAAGCCAAAAUUUGUUCAUAGUAUUGUUGGGAAUUUUGAUUUAAUUGACCUUAAUCUCUUUAGACUUGAUUUUGGCGACAGUUCCAACAUCAAUAACUGGAGCUCUCCCCGCUGUCGCUUUCAGAUAAAAAGGACCUUUGGUUGGCCUACAGAUCCCAUACUUGGAUAGAUCGCCAUAUAAUAUUUUCGACAUCAGUACGGCCAUGAUAUCCACUAUAAAAAUCGGGAGAUACUUGGAGAAUAUCAUGCCUACCCUCACAAUUUCUUUGCUCACCACAUGAACCUGCAACCAAAAAAAAGCUAGAUUUCAGUUUUUUUUUUUUCUCUUAUUCAAGACAAAGUAUAAGAAACUGAAGUAUUGUGUCUCAAUCCUUACAGGGUUUCUAAUAACAAUGGCAGUUUGAACUCCGUAAUUUGAUAGAUCAUAAGCUAUCUCCAUACCAGAAUUACCACAACCAACGACCAAGACCUCCUUGUUUUCAUACUUGGCACCCGAUUUGUACUCACUGGAAUGGAGGGUUUCACCGCUAAAGCUAUCCAACCCCGGCAGCUCCGGGAUGUAUUUGCCACUGUUUUCGCCUGAAGCCACCACCAAGAACUCAGCAACAUAAACUUCAACACCCCCUGUCAGUACAUUCUUGGCCUCGAUCCGCCAUUUCCCAUCAGCUUCAUCGUAAGAAGCCGAUUCAACAUGUCGUUGAUAUUUAGGCUGGAUGUUAAACGUCUUGACGUAGUCAUCGAGAUAGUCGACGAACAUAUCUUUGGGUAUGUAAGUAGGGCUAUCGGGUGAAUGGGGUUUGAACGGCAAGGAACAAAAUUCUUUGGCUAAAUGGAGUUUCAACCGAUCAUAAGCUCUUUUCUUCCAAAGGGAAGCAUAAAUAUCUUCUUUUUCAAGGAUGAUAUGAGGGAUGGAAUGAACUGAUAAGCAUGCAGAAGUUGCAAGACCAGAAGGUCCAGCACCAACAAUCAGUACCACAAUUUCUUCCAUUCUUUUUUUUUUUCUCUCUGGGUCGGUUUCUUUGGUGUUUGUAAGAAAAAAAAAACUCUCUUUGGAGUUCAAAUAAAGAGUCUAAAAUCUCUUCACUUUGUUAAAUAAGGCUGUCACUGAAGAGGAACACUGAAUACUGACAAUGUAGGGUUCUUACAGUAUUUAAUGAGGAUGGCAACAGAAAUCUGCGUUUCGUUUCAAUUUUUUACUUUUAAUUGAUUUUCCAUUAUAGCUGAUUUUGUGUAAAUCUUGUAGAAAGGAUUUCAACGAUAGUAACGUGAUUUUGGCAUUGUUAUUUUCUGCAUUUGUUUUUCUCUUCUUUUAUUUUUAUUGGGAUAACAGGCGUUUUGGCUCAUCAGCUUUUAACAUUUUUUAUAAUUUUAUAUUCUGGAAUUACAUUCUCAUGUUUACCUGAGUUCAGUGGCGAAAUUAGGGGCAGCUGCCACCCCUAAAAUUUUUAAAAAUUUCAUAUGAAUUUUAAAAUAGUAAAAGUAAAAUUAUACUUUAAUUCCCUUAAAAAGUAUAAAAAUUUAAUUUAAUCCUUUAAAAUUUAUAAAAGUAAAGUCUAUUAAAAUGAUAAAAUUAUAUUCUUUUUUCUAUCGUAAAAAUUACAAUUCAAUUUUGACUCUAAAAAGAUUUUCUAAUUUCACCCCUGAAUUACUAGCAUGAUAGUAUUAACUGUGUCAAAAUUUAGUGAUAAAAGAGAGAAUUGCAAUGCCACCUAUAUUAUAUUUGACUAAUGUGACAUUCUUUUACUAUUUUACCCAUUAUUUUAAUGAUUUAAUUCAUUAUACUUAAACCAAAAUGAUGUAACAAUAAAAAAAGCUAAUGAAUUAAAAAUUCUCUAAUUCUUUGAUAUAUUCUUUUAGUAACAUCUCCAAAAAAUUAAAAUUUAGUUUAUUAGAUUAUGCAUUUAUUUAACAAAAUAAAACACUAUAAGCCUUUUUUAGUAAAAAAAUUAAAAUAAAUAAAUUUUUAAAAAAUAAUUUAGUAAAAUGAGUUUUUAAAUAAUUUUAUAUUUUUAUCAAUCAAAUUACAUUUUAACCAAAUUAACUAACAAGGUAAUAUAAAUAUGGAGUAAUAUGAAUAAACCCACUUAGUUGAAUUGGCAAGUAUGAAUAAAUUUAUUUAUAAAUUUGUAACCUUAUAUAGAUAUUGAUGUUUUUGAAUUAAGUUCUCAUUUCUCAACUUUAUAAAAAUAAAACCAGUAAGAAAAUGGAAACAUAUAUAAAUAACAUAUCAAUAAAAAAAUUUCUUCCUUCUAUUUGAAUUUUAACUAUGCGAAAUACAAAAAGAUUUUAUUAAACAUUGAAUCGGACAAGAUCAACGUGGUUCGACAAGUGAAGAAUAUUUUGAAUAUGCCGAUUCAUAUUAACAUCUAAUGUAUAUGAAUCGUUUUUUCUUUUUUUUUCUAAAUUUCUUCAUAAACAUGAGUACAUUCGCAUAUUCUUUUUAGUAUUAUCAAGUUUUCAUAUAAGUAUUAAAUGAUAAAAUAUCAAAUUCGAAAUUAAUAUAAACUUAUUUAAUUUGUUUUGUAAUUUGUACCUGUCAUAGAAAUAAUUAGUACAAAUAAUUAAUAUCUUAUAAGUAAAAUUGCACUGGCGUGACUCAAAUGGAUACUUUAGCUCAUAAUUUACAUAUUUUUUUUAUUUCUGCUCGGUGCAUGAAUACCUCAAAAAUUUUGGUAUAAUUAUAUUUGAGUAAUUAAUAUUGUGUAAAAUUUAUACUUUAUAUUAGAUUAACACUCUAAAGAUGGAUAUAAUGCAUAAAAGAAAAAGUAAUACUGGUGUGGGCCUAAUGCAAAAUAUAAAAUUAAAUACAACUAAUUGUACGUAAAUACCAAAAUUGGUAACUUUUUGUUUUAAUGAAUGUUCCAUAUUUGGCCUUUUAUUACCAAAUUAUAAAUAAUUACCAAAUCACAUUCUAAUUGGGGGUAGGUAGGCAAACUUUUCUUUGACUUCCUUUGACCAAACCAGCAACUGACAAGGUAGCUUAAACCAUGGUUUACGGUUAGAUUUAUACCAGAGUCAAGCAGAAUUAUCCACCUGACUCGACCAAAAUUACCUUGGAUAAAGUGAUUUUAGUUCAAAACAUGCCCACCAAUUAAAAUUUUAAUAACACUGUCCACUAUAAAAAAAAAUAAACCACAAAAUAUCAUUUUAUUAAGUUUAAGAAGUAGUUGUUUUAUUAAAUUUUAUUUUAUAGUUUUUUUUAAAUUAAUAAAAUUAUGCUUAUCAUAAAUCUGAAACAUAUGUGUUAAGCGGUUGAUUCGGUUUUAAAAUCAGAUAAAAUCGAGUUUGAUUGCUAAUGGAGCUUUGACGUUCUUGGUUAAAGCAAAAAUAUUAGGUUUUUGAGUAUCUAGUUUCAAAUCUUAUUAUGUACAAUUAUGAUUUGAGAGUUUCCAAUCCCACUACAUGCAUUUGCUAUGUUUAAGUUUUGUCCACUUUUUCGUCCCUUAUAUAUUUAUUUUGUAUUUGUAAUGGUAAAGCUUUCAAAAAUAAAAAAUUCAAGUUAGACCGUAUUAUUAAAUUGGGUCAAUUUUACUUAUCAGAUGAGUGUGUAAUAUAUUUUUUUUUCUUUUUUGGUCUUGAGAAUUUGAAAUAGAUUUGUUUAUUUAAUUUGUAGCUUAUACUAAUGUCUAAAUCCAGGUGCACCAUAAGUGCCAAAAAGGAGCGGGAGAGAAACGUUACGAUUGCCUGAAAGCUUUGGUGUAACGCAUGAAUGGCAAUUUCCCAUUGCCAAAUGCCAAAGAAACAAAGCUAAAACCUAAGAAGCACCGCCAUUUAUAUGCUUUGCUUUGCACACCAUUUCCUUAAUUUAUUCAUUUCAUCUUUAUCCACAAAUUCAAAUAUUCUUAUCUCAUUAUUUAUAAUAUAUAAGUUUGUGUUUACAUGUUUUAUGCUUCAUUGCUUUAUCCGUAAAUUGCAUUGAUAUAAUUAAUAGUUUAACAAGUAUAUGGAAUAAUUUUAGGAAUACCAAUUUCAAUUUAGAUGAUGAAGAAAUUGAUCAAGGGCCAAUAAUAAAGAGUAUAUAUGUUAAAUAUUAUAGAUACGAAAGCAAUUAGAUAAAAUACAUAUGAUGUUUAUUUGCUCUUCUUACUUUUAUUAGUAAUUGUAUCAUUAAACGUAUUGCAUACAAUAAUUUAAUAUUAAUUCUUUUUACUUCUUCAGAUUUUUUUGAAGAAUUAUUAGUAAUUAAUAUUUUAAAGGAAAUUUAAAUUAUGCAAUAUAUACAAUAUGAUGAAUUACGGUGUAAUUACACUCAAUCAACAAAUGCAUCUUAAAAAAUUACAUUUUAUUAUAAUGAUAAAAGGGUGGAUUAAUAAUUCCAAAAAUUAAUUAAAUUAUUAUUCUUUUUAAAUAACUGUUAUAAAAAGUCAGCAAAGCCCUAGAGCUAUGCUUAAAUUAUUAUUUUUAAGGAAGUUUAAGCAGCCUCGUAUGUAGUUUCUUUUCCAUGGGCAGGAAGAUGUUUAGUGCAAUAAUUGAGUGAUAUACGGACUUCUUAAAGCAUGCUCGAAAAACCAAUAUCCAACUUUAAAACUAGCUAAAGACUGCCUAAAAAGUCUUGAAAUAUCUUAAUUUUGAAACCUCAAGCUGAGUUUGUGAACAUGCCUCAUGUCAGAUCAGAAGGAUUGAAAUUUGACAUAUGCCACUCUCCUCAAGCAAGUUCAUUACUAACAAAAUAAAAUAUUUAUAUUCAUUCAUUCAUGUACUACAAAAUUUCUAUCAGAACGAGAACAAUGAUUGGAAGCUAUACUCGGAAAACCUCAAGCCGAGUUCCGUUCGAAUGCACUGGGAACACCUCCAAAUCAUAUUAGGACACUCGUGCAGACCUUCCUCGCAUACAUGGCCACCAAUACUCUCGUGUCUACCGCUGCCACUCUUGGGUCUCACACGCUGGCCAUGACACAAGCACACCGUAGAUAGUGCAGAGGGGGAAGAAGAGCAAUGUAAACAAUUAACUAUUCAACCGCCAAGGCUGAGUUACAUGUUGCCCUUCUCUCUAUAACAGGUAUCAGGUUGAAGAAAUCCUCUUAACUAUACAUCACCACUCCAAACUCAAAAGGCACAACCAGGAUGCAUGGCACAAGCACUCUGUAUUAACACCACACACCUCCGCAAAUGCAUAAAACAAUAGUCAGCAAGGCUAAUUUAGGGGGAUUUCCAAUCAAAUUGAAGGUUACUAAACCCAUUCACGGCUCCAAGCCCAUUCAGUAAUCUGUUUGCUAAUUCUUGUUGCUGAUGGUUCAUAGCAUCUUGAGGCAUCAAUGGCAUGCUCACCCUUCCAGUGUAAUUCAUAGAGUUGUUCCCCAUGGUAGAUCUCAUAGCAGUUGGAUUGGGAGAAAGACCCAUCCCACCAUUCAUAUUCCCAAAUCCUCCUCCACUUCCAAUGCCUGAAUUGUUGUUAACAAACCCAUUCCCCAUCAAGCAGCUGCCGCUCACCUGUGGAAGCCCAUUGUUGUUAUUCAAGUUAUUCUCCAUAGAGCUAACACUGACCAUGCUACCAGUCUCACUGAACUGUGAUGAAAUCAUCAUUUCUUGAAUGAUUUUCUCGACAGAGCUCUGAGAUUCAUUUGGGUCAACCUCACUUGUCUGAGAUGACUGCUGUGGUGGAAUCUGUGCAGAUGGAUUCGCUGAAUUGACACUCUUUGCUGUAGUUGAAGUACCCAAGGCAUUAUGAGAACUUUGGGGAGGGAGACUAGACGAGGAUGGCAUUGGAGAAGAGAAUGGUGAAGAAGGAUUGGGCUGAGUUAGUGGCAAAGAAGUAGAGGACCCUGCUGAUGGGAUUGGAACCGGAGUUCCGGCAUAGGGACUGUUUGGAUUGUUCAUCUGGUUUUCAAUCCUCGAAUUCAUGGAAUUCUGUCGAAGAAGCCCCACAAUGGUGGAAGCAGAUGAAGUGGAUUUUGCACCCUGGGAGUUGUUCACACUGGCAACAGCAUUGCUUGUAUAAGGCUGCAGAACAGUUGAUUGUAUUGAAUGAGGAUCAUUAUUUGUAUUUUCUCCAGUAACAUGCUGUUGCUUCUCAAUUUGUGGAGCUGAACUAUGCUGUGCAGAUGAUGGGGAACUCCUUGUCGGGAACUUGGCCAGACUUUCUGAAAAUGAAUAAAGAAAAAUUACCAAUGUCUCGAGGCAAAAAGAGAAAAGAGACAAGAUCAAUGAUAAUGCUACUUGCGACAUUUCAAGCUUUCCAGGAUAAAUUUGAUUCCUUAACAUAUUAUAAGUUAAAGGCAACCUUCUUGAACACUAUAAAGCUAUGUUACUCGAACAGUAUGGUUAGAUUUUUCUAAGUUUCUCCAUGAAUUUGGAGGAUCCUUAGAGGUCAUAUCUUCAUAUCCAUGUGUCAAAGAUAAGUGUUGGACCCAGGUGGGGUUCAUUUCGUGCCUCCAUUUACAGAGGGUCUUUGGGAUUUUUGCAGGGGGAUGACAACCAGAGAUAAUGUCUUCCCAGGUCUCUUGCUGCACUACCUAAUUAUUAGGGCUCAGAUAGGCCAGGAAGAUGGAUAGCAUCAGCACACCGCCAAUUGAUCAAAGAGAAUGCUUUUCUUAAUAAGCAGUGAACAUUAAUAAUGAUCAUAAAUGUUGAAAGAUCAAAAUUUAUGAACCAUACCUAUUGGCCCCAUCCUUGUCUCACGGCUAUAAUCAAUCAAAUCCUUCAUGCUAUUAACGACCUCUGAUAUCUGCAAUUGGAGAAUACCAGUCAGAUAAUGUAUGUAUAACAUAAAUUUCCUCUUAAGCUGAGCUGCAAAUCAGCUAUCCAGCCAUCAACUAUUUGUGCUUCAUGUAAGAUGACAUGAGAACCGAGAAAACACCAGCCACAGAAGGUAAAUUUGUGGACUAAGAUUGAAGUACGAUAACAAGAAAGAAUAAUAAUCUUGUCUAAAAUCUCAUAGAACAGUAACGGCCUUAUGGACGAUCACCCAUGUAAGAAUUUGUUUGUUGGAGGGGGUUUUAAAGAUGAUAAAUUAGUAUAUAAUGAUAAAUGAUCAUUGCAACAUAGCAUGUGUAUAUAUAAAGAUUUUUGCAGCUAAACAUUUCCAUUGAUUGAAAGGCCUAUAAAUCCCAUCCAAUUUAAACCCCAUUAUAGUAAGACUCAUUUUUUUUAGUAAUUUGUUUUUCAAUUAUGUCCCUAUAAAUGACAAGAAAUGACUAAUAAACAUCACCAACAAUAUACACAUAUAUAUGUAAUGAUUAAGGUUUAAGCAUGCACUUAGUCCCAUUAUUGAUUCCAUCCCUAUACUCCACACUUUGUUCAGAUCAUUCCCUGCACAUAAAUAAAUGAAAAACACAUUGUUGUACUCUCAAACUUGUGGAUUCCAGCAAAAUUACUCAUACAGACCACUCUGCUUCUAUGUACAACUAAGGGUACUGAUUACCAGUACUACCACAGGCCUUUUUAGAACUUAUGAACUUUUUUUAUGCCAUUUAUUUUCCAAAAUCCUAGAAUUCAAGCCAAGUGACCACAAAGGGCCAUUCUACUACGUUAAAUGUUCAGUCCCCUCUUGUUCCAUGUUAUAGAAUUUCGUACAAUCAAGUAAAAUCACCAACCCCAUGAAUCUCAAACCACUAAGUCUCUCUAUCUUUUAAAAACUAGUUACCUGUCUCUAAAACAGGACAGAAAGAGGUAUCAAAGCUUGAUUCAGUUGUCACAUUUACUCAUUGAAUUAUUUAGAUCUUGUUUAACUACCAGCUUUGGAUUAAAUAACAAAAACAAAACGUACAGAAGAUAAAGAUAGCAAUAAUACAACAAAAAGAGAAGACAAAAGACCACAAUAUUUCUAGACAUAAAAGAAUUUUAUUUAAAAAAAUAGAGAAAAGAAAGAACAAUAAUACGUUACUUUGUGCAUUUUGAUCUUUCACAUGUUAAUGUCAUACAAUACCAUGUGACAGGCUUUGCCAUAAAAAAAAGUAAAUAAAUUAUAUGGCAAAACUUGUCCUAAAUUUGAACUAAAAUCAUUAGAGUAGCAUGUAGUUUGAACUAAAUUUUAUUUAAUUCAUAAUGAUCGGAAAUAAUAUUUAAGUGUCUAGUACCUGAAGGCACCGCACAUAUCUCUUUGUGUACCCUAAAUCAUUAACUAAAGGGACAUCCAAGGCUUUUGCCAAUUGACGAGCAGAUGCAACAAACCUGCAAGAAUCACAUGUUACUGGCAAACAAACUAAGGUGAAACCAAAUAGUAUGCAUAUGUACAAAAGGUCAUGCAUGAAAUAUGUGAACAAGGUAAAGACGAAAUGGUCUUUUAGCAAGAACACCACUUCUACAUCAACAUCAGUUGGAUGCUUCAGUACACCACUUUACAUGCCAUUCAGUAACACAUCAGAGGAAAAUUCCAAACAUGUUUGCAUCACCUACAUUCAACCCUACCAAGUCUUUUAAAAAGUUCCAAAAAGUUUACUUAUUUUUUUUAGCCUACUUGAUCUAAGGUUAUACCCUUGAAAGAUCCAAAGAUGUGACUCCAGUCAUUUCUCAUCAAUUCCCCAACAUCAUCCUUUACAUACCUUUAAUCCAUCCUAAUUGAACCAAAUCGCCUAUGGGAGCAUGGGAACAUCCAGGUCUUCGUUGCACGAGUAAAGCAUUUAUGUUAUCUUCUUUUAAUUCACUUUAUUUCACGCUACCCACCCAUUCUUGUGGAUAUUUAGCUUUUCUUAAAUGAAAUUCCUAUUUCUCCAUUCCAGCUAGACCCAUCUUAUGGAUGUUUUAUCCUCUAACUACCCUACAGAAACCAAUAACAUAGAGCAUUAUAUGGCCUUAUCAAUGCAUCAUACUUAAACUUCAAACUGGCAGGCAUCUGUAUAGUAUUUCUCCAUUUCACAGAUGACACCUUAUACCCUCAAUACUUAGUACUACCAAAAAGAUUUGCAAUAAAGAAUUCCUGAUUUUCAAUUCAGAACCAGUCUAGGAAGCAUGAAUAGGCACAGCCCCCAUUCCUCAGGCAUGCCUCAUAACAGUUGCAAAUAAAUAAUUAACAUAUUACAGAGACUGCUCUAAUAAGAGUAUAAAACUCACAUGUUACAGUUAGUCUGUAAGUCCGGUGCAGAUAAGUUGGAUGAUGAAUUCUGUGCAGAUGCUUGGUACUUCUGUGCAGCAGCUCCAAGUUGACUUACCUGGAAUUUAUUUUAAUUAGUUAUCCUAGUCUAGGAAAAUGCAGCUUUACUCCAACACAUAUCAGGUAAAGGCUUCAUUGAAUCUAUAAAAGAAUGCUCUUCAGAGUAUAAGGCAAAGAAAUCACAGAAAGACCAGAGGGGAAAAAUUAAAUGACAUGCUCAAGUUCUCUCCAAACAUAUACUCCGCGCUAAAGAAGGAAACAGAGAAUUUUCCUUUUCAGGAGCCAGAGUGGAGAAAGGAGAGAGGAAGGGUGAUUCUUAAACAUCUUCCUUCACCUUCUACUACUUGUAUCCCUGUUUCUAAAAUCUAUGUUCUUUUAGAGUGAAGACGAGAGGAACUUGUUCAGCAAUAAAUUAUGGUUUUUAAUGUGCCAGCACGAUAGUAAGGAAAAAUAAAGUCAAGUUAACUUACAUUCAUAAAUACUCCAUGAAAGGAUGCUGCAAGACUACUACUUAAGUACAUAAAUCUACAUCUGACAUAUAAAGCAUCCUUUUGUAUACCUGAGGUAUUAUCAAUCUCCGAGGGAUAAGCUCCUCAUGACGCCGUGCACAAAACUCCCAAGAGCAAAUCUAGAAUGUAUAAACAAGAUAAGAAAAAACAAAAUGUCAACCAAACAGAUGUUCCUGCAGUUAUGCUUACUUUAGCACAUGGAAUUUAACAUCUCCAAACCUUUAGAUCUGGAGAGAAAACAAUACGAAGUUGACCAUCCCGAACUACACGAAGAUGCUCGAAAACACUCUCCUGUAUUGCUUUUGCAUAAUCGAGGACAAUUUGAUCAUUUCCAUUAAGAUAUUCACGCGGCAUAUCAACAUAAAGAAGCUCCUCCAAAGUGCCACUGUCAUAUUUGAUUUUAAAUAAUCUGGGCAGAACCUCAACAGUUGUCUCUGAAAGUGCAAACAGAGUGUGUUAGAAAAGCAAGAAUUUGACAUUUACUCUCUCUUCAUGUGUAAAUUUGUGCAACCUGGGACAUGUUAUAUUAAAACCUUUUCCCCACGUAGUCACAAGUUGUAUUCUUCAGCAAAGAAGACAAAUGAAAUUCUACUUAGAUUUCAGCUGCUUAGAAAUUAAAGAUAGAUAUUUGAUUCCUUCAGUAUAAACCAGUUAUUUCAUUGAUAGCCAAACUACUCAUUAAAAAGAGAUAAACUUUUGCACCAUGGAUGAAAAUAACAUAUUCUACAAGCUUUAUAACAUUCAGUUUCCUGUUGGAAGCAACUUCAAGGAGUCAAAGAAAAUAGACUUACUACCUUACAAUCACCGAUCAUUUUACUUUGAAUAGUACUACCGAUCUACUCCUUCCUUUUAUAUUCUUAAAACUUUUACAUAAGGGGGAUAGAAAAGUUAAAGAAGCAAAGCAAUAUUGCAUUACCUACAACUGAUUCAUAGUAUAAGAACGCUUCAUGGCAGUUCAAGUGCACUCAAAGUAAAAGAAAUCUAUUAAUCCACCUGAGAGUGAUCUGAUAGGGAAGCCUAGUGUCUCUGAUGCAUUAAGACUCAGACAAAGAGCAGAGAUUGAAGAUGCAACUUAUCCUGAAUUUGUGCUCUAAAUGAAGCCUAUGCACCUAAAUAUGAUGCAUAUCCAAAGAGACAAUCACUAGGAAGGUAGCAUGCACCAGUUCAUUUGGUAAAGUGUCUUCUUUCAUGCAAAGCAGGCCCGGAUAUUGAAUAAAGCAGGUAUCAGAAGUAUAUGUCAAAGGAUUGCAUUCAGAUGCAAAUUCUUUAUGUAUAAGCAGGAGAUGUGAGCUUUGCCACUAAUUGUUUGCCAAAGGACAGAAAACAAACAGACAUUGAAUCAUAAUAAUUUCCAAGAUUUUCCUACUAUCAAUAGAUGCAGAACUAGAUAAAACAUUAAUUAGGAAGCAAGGACCAUUUACAUAAAAUAUAGAAUACAUUCUUCACUUAAUGGCAAGAUGUACAUAGCUCCAUACUUAACAUGACAAAAUACAAUCAGCUACAAAAGCAGGAAUGAUUAAAUUACCAUAAAAUAUCAAGUUGAAGAGGUAAAAGACAUAACAUACCAAAACCACGACCUGGUUUGCGAUUGCAUAUUUCACAGUGCCAUAUAUCCUGCAAAAUCUGCAAUUAAAUUUCUAAUAUUUCCUCACAGUGGCAACACAUCAAAUCUUAGACUUUGCAGAGCAUUCUAGAAUGUAGGAACUAGAAAGUAUCAUUUUAUUUGGCCAAAAAUCCAAUGAGAUAAAAAAAAAUAUUGGCAAACAAGAUCCUAGAAAACUCCUCUGUCAGUCUGCAAGAUACUACUAAAUUUUCUACAAUAAAAUUCAGCUUUCUCCAAGCAUAUAAAUUCAAAUCUUACUUAACAUCUAUAAGAAAAUUAGCAUCACAUCCCAACCCAACCUUCUAAAACUGUCAGCUUGAGAUCAUAUAAAGCAGUCCAAGAAUCAUAUAAAUUUUAGCACUAGACCUACGUAUCUCACAAGGAGAACCAAAUUCUUUGUACUUAUCCUUGAAUAAGGUCAGGGCUAUAAUGGAAGGUGCAGCACCUUAUCUGAUAGUUUUCUUCUUCUUUUUUCUGAGUCUCACUCCUCUCUAGAAUAGCAUAAGCUGUUGACAUUUUGCACCUCAAACAUACAAACAGUGUUCCUCGAAGACAUCAUUUACAAAGCUAGAAUUCCCAGGAGGGAGUGUGCCAACCACUGCCCCUCUCUCUUUCCUCUCACUAGGGACACUAAAGUGCAAGUCAAUUUUUUUAAACAACAUACCUGAGGAAAAACACCAUUAGUCUGCCGACUAUUUCCAUAUAACGAAACACACCACCUUUUCUUUGAAUUAGGAGCAAAAUAUUCGGCAACAAAUUUUCGCCAGAAUUCAAUAUUGUUAUCCUAUAUCAACAACAUGUGUUACUACCAAGGAAAACAGCAAAACCACCAGAAGAACAAUUAAUCCCACAAGUGAAAUUAUCUUACAUUAGGCCUACACUGUUGCUGAUAUAUGUAUUGAGUCAAACGCCGAGCACAAGUGCCAGGUUCAUAAGCUGGUCUAACAGCAGAUCUUAUAGGCAAAUUCUGCUGCAGAAACUGUGGCUGUAGUUGAGGCCUUUGUUGAGGAAGUGAUUUCAACAAUUGGUGGUGAUAUUGCAUCUGCAAUAUACGCUGUUGUUGCAAAAGAUUCAUCUGUGCAAGAGCAGCUUGAGAAGACUGCCUGGACAAUUGGAGGAACUGCUGCUGCUGCUGCUGCUGUUGCUGUUGUUGUUGCUGUUGCUGCUGCUGCUGCAAAAGCAUUGCCUGAUCAGACUGUUGACGUUCCAACUUUACAGGUCCUACGCCUCUUCCAGCUUGGUUCUGUUGAGGCUCUAGCUUCACUGGUCCAAGAUUCCGGAAUGACUGCAACUGUUGCUGGGGACCAACCUGAUCAUUUAUAGUCUGAGGUUCCAACUUGACAGCACUUUUGCCCCCAAAUUCUCCUCGGGUUGAUUGAAAUUGCUGAAGUGAUUGACUCUGUGAAAGAGGGAACUGCUGCAUUGACUGCUGACCCUGAUGAAACUUUUGCGGCUCAAAUUGUCUAACUUGAGAUUGCUGUUGAUCUAACAUUUCAGGGUUUCCAGCAUAGUUUGCAAUUUGCUGAUUUGGAAUUUGGCCUGAUGACCCAAAAUUUGCAAUAUUUGAUGGUGUGAACGAUGAAGGAGGUGCAUUAAAACCAAUCUCAUUUGCUACAGCAGUGAGAGGAUCAGACUCAGCAGUGGCAUUAAAACCUCUCUGUUGCAAACCACUAGCACCAGAGAGAUCAGAGUUAGAACCCCCAUUUCCGAAAGUCUGAUUGUGAAGUGAUGAAACGUUUGCUGUGCUACCUAGCAAAUUCAUGUUAUACUGCACUCUUGGUGAGACAAGUGAUGAAAAUGUAGCUUGUUGAGGCAUUGAACCACCUUGAGAUCCCAAAAUAGCAGAAUUCGAUCGCAUAAGUGCCGGAGAACCAGAUUGAGCGCCACCAAUUGAAUUUCCAGGCCUAGAAGGUACCAUUUCCCAAGAAUUACUGCAACUGCUCAAAAAAUUCACCAAAAAGAACUACUACAUCUCGAAUUCACCAUACACAGAUAUCCUGUUGAGCCUCCCUGGGCACCUUGACAAAGAAAGGCCAUAAUUAUAUUCAACCAAGAAGCAAAACCGGGCCAUACUUAGAACUAGAUACUCCAGCUUGUCAACAUCUCAAAAGAGAAGUCACAACAGCUUCCAUUUGUGACUACUAAAACCUGAAACAUAGAAAAUAAAGCAUUAAUUGCAGGCAAGAAGAUAGACCUCUAUUAAAAAAAAAUUUAGAACCAGUUCACAAAUAAGAAUUUCACUGAGAAGCUGAAACCAUUUAGUGAAAAUUCUAAUUAGAUUAGAACAAUUAAACCAUAGAACACAAAAUCACAAAACCAAAGCCAAAACCCACCAUCAAAUGAGUCGACUCAGUUUCGCACAAAUUUAUGGUUUAAGCUAACGUAAUUCUAUAAAAAGAGAAUGAAAGUAACAUGUACUAAGUGAAAAUAUGAAAUGAAAGAAAAAGCAAAUUCAAAACCAAAAUAUAUGAAGCCUUUUGUAAUCUAAAUAUGGUUGCAAACAAACUAAAGGAAAAAGAAAGAAAAUCCAUGGAUUUAAGGCUAAAAUUACAAUAUAAAUGUCUCUUAAAUUUGAACCCUUUUUUCUCGUUCUGAAAUAAAAAGAAGAUAGCAACACCAACACCCACAAAAAAAGAAAAGAAAGUAGAAGUAUAUAAAAUGAAGCUGGAUAACAAUGAAAACCCACAUAUUAAGAAAACACGCGGACACACACACACACACAAAAAUUCACAAACAAAUUGAAAACCCAAAGACUGAGAAGAGAAAAGAUAGAAGGAAAGUGAAGUACUCUUUGUUCUUCACUCAAACAAAGAAAAUCCACUGGCAAAAAGAAAAGGGAGAGAGAACUUACAAUGUGAAGUGGCACUGUUACUGAGAGGUAAAAGAAAUUUUUUUAUCAUUGCCUAUCCACAAAAAAGAAAAAACCCAAAAAGAAACCAAACACAACUUCAAACAAAGCCGAAUAUAAUAUCUGGGGGAAAAAAAUAUUUUGUUUUUAAAAGUUCUUUCCCAUUGUAUUCGGAAGGAAAAUGCGACAUUAAAAAUAUUAUCGUCAUCGUAUUUCAGUACAAUCUUUUAUUUAAUUUUCAAUAGUAUUUUAUGUUUUCCUUUGUUGGGUAUUUUAUUGCAGUCUCUGCUCUUUCUAUGCCUUUUCGUUUCACUGUUUUGCUUCGUUUAUUUAGAAUGAAGAGUAUUGAGGUUAUACGUGUGUUCUUCCGGACGUCAAAAUCCCUUCGAAUUGGAUUUAUUUUUUGCUUUUUAGGAUUUUUCUUAUUUUUAUAAUCGGGUAAAUUACACCAAGGUCACUUAAUUAUUAGUAACUUUAUAUUUUAGUCACUUAAUUUUAAAAAGUUACAAGUUGAUCAUUGAACUAUUAAUAAAUUUACAAGUUUAAACUUUAAUCACUCAAUCUUUGCACCAUUACUCCCUAACUCGAUAAUCCAAACAAUACUAACAACUCAAGCUCCAAACUUUAGCAAAGCCAUUAUCAACCCAUUCUCAAAUCAAAUUAACUAAGCAAGUUCUCCUUUCAGUCAAAAUCAUAACUGAAUAAAAUUAAUGAUCAAAUCAUUCGCAUACCCUUGUCUCGAACCAACAACCAAAUAUCACCAUAAACAAAUAUGCUGGAAACAAAUAAACGAGGGAAGCAAGUUUCACGUUUCAACAAGCAUAAGAACAAAAAAACUCAAAAUAUUAAAAAAUUCAAUUAGGAGUUACUUGAAGAGUUCCAUGCAAUGAUGGUUGAAUCCAAACAAUUACUAUUUUUAACCUCACCACCCGUCCGAAGGAACACAUAAUUCAUGGCUUUGUUAUUGUCAUCACCGAGAGCCAUGCAGAACAAACGAAAUGAACAAAGAAAUGGACUCAAACAAGGAAAGACAGACGGACUUUUGGACUAAAUCCAAAAACAAAAAUGGUUAUAAAUAGGAGCAAAAAGUUUCGAAAAGAAAAAACCCAAGACUUCUACCAUGAGCUCAUGUAAAUAUUGAUAAAUCGUUAAAUAUUUUAAUAAAAAAAUUCUAAGCUUGUUUUUAGUGAAAUUCAUAUUUGAAGUUUUCAAAAUCCGAAUUUCUCCUUUCCCAUUUAACCAUUAGAGGACAUGCUUAACUCGAAUUCAGAAUAUAACAAUAUAACAUAGCACAUGCCAUGUUUAGAUGAAAUAAAGGGUUGAUUAAUAUAUGUAUUUCGGUAAUUUCAUAUCCAAAUGCAUUCAUUUGAAGUGGUGGAUCAUCUUCAGAUCAUUCAUUCACCUUCAAUAUAAUUCAUAAUACACUUGAAACAUCUCACUUUUUAAGAUUACUGUAUUAGGAUUAACGAUAUAAUUUUUUCGAGAGUCAAAAUUAAAUAAAAUUUCACAAUUUUUAGAGGGCUUAAACUAUUAAUGUAUCGGUAUUGAAGAGUCGAAAAGUAAUCUUAUCACCAUACUAACUUAAAAUUAUAUUUAAAUUUUUUGAUGGAUAAAACGAAAUUUAUCAUUUUAAAGAGGACCAAGUACAUGAUUAAUCAAAGUACCACUAUUCAUAUAAGAUGAUUUGGUAUCGCAAAUCAAAAAAUUAUUUUAUACAAUUGUCAUGUUAUUUAAAAAUAAAUAAUUUUGUAGAUAACUUUUACAUAUUUCCAUAAUCAAUUUAAUAAAUUCAAAAGGUAAAACGGUUUAAAAAAUGUUAUUUUAACAUUGUCUUUGAGAAAAUUUUUAGUUAAUAUUUUUUGAAAAACAUACUACAAUUUUUUAUUAAAAUUUUAUAGAAAUUUAAAACUAUUAACAUGGUGUUUUCAAAUUAUUUAAAAUUAUUUAUAUUUAUAUUUUUUUCCAAUAAAAUAGUUUUUUAAACUAAUUUAAAUUUAAAAUCCUAUAUAAAAUGUAUUUAAAAUAUUAUACAAAGAAUUAUGUUUAAAAUAAAAUUUAAGUAGUUUAAUAAAUAAUCAUUUUGAAUUCUUUUUAAAAAUUUAAACCAAUAUUCAUUUAAAAUAUCACAAUAAAAAUUACAAAAUAAUUAAAUUAUACAUAUAAUAUCCUCGAACUAUCAUCACUUGCUUAUAAUCGGCAUGCAUUCACGCUACAUAUACCAUCUAAUUUCCCUAUUUUUAUAUUAUUUCUACUUAUAUUGUAAUUUACCACACUCGUAAGAUGAAAAUAAUAUUUAAAAUAUGAUUUCUAUAUUUUGAAAAGUAAUAUAUUGCGAUAACUUUUUAAUGAUGCUAAGUUACGUGGAAUAUAAUGGGUAACUUAAUCAAGAGUUUGAUUGCUAAGUGGGUAGUUUUCAAAAGUAAUUCACCAGUUAUUUAUGAUUCUUUUCUAAUUAUUUAAUGAGUAAUUUUUUGUCGUCAUUCAUACGUAAUUUUGAUAUUUUUUAUAUUGAAUCUUAAACCUUAAAUCUUAGAACCCAAACUCUAAACCAUAAACUUUGAACAUUGAACAUUAAAUCCCAAAUAUUGAAUUCUAAACAUCGAAUCUUGAACCAUAUAACCCUAAAUAUUGAACCCUAAACCUAGGGAUACAGGGUUUGGGUUUCAGGUUCAGGGGCUAAGUUUAAGUUUUAGGUUUAAGAUUCAAGAUUCGGGAUUUAGGAUUCUGAGUUUGGGGUAAAAAAUUACCAAAAUUUCGUGACAUGAAAAAAAUUAUAAAAAUAUCAUUAAAUAAUUGAAAAGGAACCGUAUAUAAUGUGAUGGGAAGGGUUCAUAAAAUAAUUUAUCGGCUUUGAAAAUGUUUUUCUAUAUAAUUAAAAUAUUUUUGUACUCACUUCGUUGAAAGUUUGAUGAAACACAAUUAACAAAUUUACAAUAAUAAGCAUUCAAAUAAAAUAUUAUAAUCGGGUAUCCAAAAACACGGAAAAAAUAUACUAAUUAAACGCAUGGAAAAAAUAUAAUACAUUGAAAUGCCCAAAGUGGAAUCCUGAAGAAUGAACCAAAUAUUAAAAAAAAAUAGAAAUAUUUGAUGCUAAAUAUUGCAAGGAAAAUGGCAGAUUCAAUGGUGCUACAAGCUUAGGUAUUAGGAUCAAUCUAUCAAGUAAUAGAAAAUAAAUAAAGAAAAGUUGAGAUUAAAAAGUAUUAGGGGUCCAUUUGUAGUAAGAUAUUUUCUAGUUCGAUUUAAUUAUUGUGAACUGCUUCCAUACUGGAACAGAAUAAUUUAGAAAAGCUGCCUAAAUUAUGUGAUGCUUUGGACCAGAAGAUUUAUUCUUUCAAAAUUAUUUUAAUGCUUUAAAAAAAAGGGGGGGGGGGAAUGGCACAAAAUAAAGCUGCCAAUGAAAUUCUACUUCCAAAUCAAUUAAGAAUAAAAAGUUCACCUUUAAAAAAAAAUCAGUAAUGCUAUAAUCCAACACUGAUUCUACUUAGACAUACAAAAGGCUAAUUGGAAUUUGGAUGGAGUGGAAUUCUAGAUUUAAAAGUCAAAUAUAAUCAGUUUUCUUUGGUGACCAUGUCCGGCGAUGGAUAAGCUCAUCGUCGGAUUGAGAUGUGCUAUGCGGUGAUCCAGUCAAUUCAUGUUGGGAUGACCCAAUAUACUGUUGAAUUACUAGCACAGAUACGGUGGACGAAAAAUCCGACUCCGCUAGAAUAUCUCCGAUCGCACCGAGCUCCGGGCACUCACUCCAAUCGGUAAGGCCGGUUGUUAAUGGCGACAUCACGCCAUGUCCUCUCCCAACAAUGAGCAAAUCAUGGUAGUUGUCUAAUUUCCUAAUCGCUGCAACAGUUUCCUCGCUACUGUUUACCACAUUCUCAGUGUAUACGAUAGAUUCAUCAUCAUCAUUCUUGCUUCUGAAAUCGUUUAUGUAUUCAUCAUCAAGCCCAUUUUCCCAGCUGCUGGUUGCUUCCACUGUUAACACAUUCGGGUUGUCUGGGUCAUCAGUAGGCAGCAUCGUUGAGAGUGUUGCAUUGGCACCUGGAACGAAUCGUAGCACAGUGAGAGCAAUCCCUGGAUUUUCACACAUUCUCCACCCAUAAGCAAGAGCUUCUCUAUCGUCUGGACCACCGAAAAACAGCACACAAACUUGGCGAGACACUUCGUUUGCAGCAACCCGAGCUGACCCACUUACGCCUCGGUCGACUAAAAUGCCCACCGAGCAAGGCGCCUUGGCUAGUAAAUUCUGGUUAACUGAUCCGAACGCUGGGUUCGUCCCUUCCAUCCCUCCAUCCACCGUUUGUUGUUUAUGGAAAGGGAUGAUUACGAGGGAUACACGUUUGUCCUCGGCCACGCUACAUAUAUCUUCGUGAAUGGAGUUGUAAGGGGAAAUGGCCGUGAGUGGGUGAAUGGAGACAUAGCUCGAAUGUUGCUCAAAGCUUUCGAAACCGUUGAUUAUGUUGUCCGAUUGAGCUUGAGUUCGGUUCUUCGCCGUGGGAACGUGUUUGGACUUGCGGGCGUUAUGGACGAUGAGCAUCCCUGAUGCAUGACCAGAGAGUUCAACGAGAUGAAGCACGUAGAUACAUAAUGGAGAUUUGGUGGUGGGGUUUGAGGCUUCAAGUAGGUUGAUUAUUGCGGGGACAUUGCGAUGGGUGUGGAUGCAUACAAGCAGUCGCAGCUCUCCAUCAUGCAGUGCUCGUUGAAGUGUUCGACGUUCAUAUGACACGGAACUCCUCGUUGGCUUGUACAUGGUUGCCACAAUGGGUGAUAUGAUGGCAGUCAUAACCACCGCUACAAUCACCAUGACAGAAAAUGAUUCAUCAUCUAAGACCUGCAAAUCAGUGUUUCUUUUUCAAUUGUUAUGAUGGAUCAACCGAUAAGGAGCUCUCAUUUCCUUAAAUAGUCAUGUUCAUAAUUUGUCAAAUGGACUCCUAAAAAGGAUAAUAUGGAACUGUGAGCAUGAAGUGGCUGAAGGAAUUAUGAGAGUGGCUUGCCGGUGUGACAUUAAUGAUCAAUGAAAGGGAAAACAUACAAGUACACUACCUUCCGAUCUUUGCCAAUGUUAAGAACAAUCAAUUCAACGAGGCCUUUGGCAUUCAUGAGUACUCCAAGUAUAAAUCCAUCAUUAUAUGGCAUCCGGAGAAACAUUGUUACAAGCAUAGUUCCGGCUAUCUUGCCGGCGCAAGAGAGGAAGGUAAUGAAUGCUAAGACGCCCCAUGUUCGACCGCUAUCGAUAGAAGCAAAAUUGGUCUUCAGCCCGCUGAUAGCAAAGAAGAGAGGGAGUAAAAGUCCGGAAACAAAGUCAUCAAGCUUUUCUAAUAAAACAACUCCAAGGGCGCCAUUGGGAAUUACGAGACCAAACACAAAAGCUCCAAAAACAGAAUGUGUCCCAAUGGCAUCCGUAAUGAAACCUGAGAUCAUCGCCCCCGUUAGAAUGACGCAUAUAGUAAAUUCGCUCAAGGGUUCCCCUUCUGAGGUUGUUCCAACCAUCCAUGUAAUUGCUGGCCUAACAAAAACAAUGCAAACCACAACGAAACCUACACAGGCAAGAAGCACCCAAAGCGAAGUAAAGGACUUUGCAUCAUUAUCCGCAGUUGCAAUGGCAAAUGCUAAAAGAAUCCAAGCGCACAUGACGUUAAGAAGAGCCGAAGACAUUGCCAAUUUGCCGAUUUCUGAGUUAAUCAGUUUCAGUUCGAAGAGGAUUCGAGCUAGCACUGGAAACGCGGUGACCGAGAGUGUGACACCAAGCAAGAGGAUGUAGGUGGCUGUGUUUAGAGAUUUUGGUUUCCUCUCAUGGAGAACAAUAGUGAAACAGAUGCCAACUACAAAGGGCAAUAUCAUGCCGCCAAUAGCAACCGCCAAUGCCCUUUUUCCUGUCUUACGAAGCACCGUUAGGUCCAUUUCCACACCAACGAGGAAGAGGAAGUAAACCAGACCAACGUUUGCCAUUGUUUCAAGCACCAUCACACUCCUUGAGGGAAAAAUUGUGCUGGCAAAUCCUUGAACCCGUCCUAGCACCGAUGGACCUAAUAUUACUCCGCCCUGUUCAAAUCAAGUUAAAGUUAAACAUAACCAAUGCAAUAUCUAGGAUGCAUUUGAGCGGUGGAACUUGAAGUAACCUACGAGAAUCUCGGAAACGACUCGAGGUUGGCGCAGGGGUUUGAGGACGAACACCAUGAUGCGAGUGGUGGCAACGACGAUUGUCAUCUGCAAGAUGACGAGAGGAAUGGAAUAAUCCAAAGGGUUGUCACCUUUCCAUAUACCCUUUGCAGUUACCAUUUUCGGUGAAUAGCAAACUAUCAAAUCUUCUGCUCUAGUCGUCGCCAUUGCCAUUCUUUUUUUUUUUCUUGCCUUUAAUUUGCUGGUCUUGCACCGUGAAAACCCUACACUUUUUUCAAUUCACAUAUCCGACUAUUAUACAUGCACACUAUGUGUUUAUUAUUUCCACUAUUGGUUAUGGUUUUUCAUUUCAAAAAAAUUAUUUCCUAAUUCUUUUAGCUGUACAAAGCAAUGACUUUGGGUUUUUCCUUUUUUGAAUUUCCUUGUUGCAGAGAAGAAAGGAAGCUGGGAGAAUAGGAGAGAAAUUAGACGGUUGCCCGCCCCAUUUGGUGAAAUGUCUUUACCUUCUAUGGUCUACAAAGCCCUCUAUUUUUAGAACAAUUUUAUACCACAACGUACCCUCGCCAAGUAAAAUCAAUUAAUGCCUCUCACUUUAUGAUCCCUCUUAAAUCAGUCCUCGACAUAGUUAAAUCCGCUUGAAAAGAUUUUGAUUUCAAAUUAUCAAAUGAAUACAAAAUCAAAAUAUUUAUAUACACCAACUUUUAUCACUGUCAAUAUAUAUAUUGAUAUUUAGAAGAUAUUUAGUAUAAUUUUUUAAAACUUGUUGAGUAAUUUUUGUCUUGUAUCUUAUCAAUAGGAGUCUUCAGGUAUUUAUACUGCAACUCACAACCUGACCUAGAGGUGUGCAUGGGCCAGGUCGGGCUCAACUAUAAAUUUAGGCCCAUUUGCUAGGCUCGAGCCUUGCCCAGCUCGAAAAAUGGGCCUAAAAUUUUGUCCAAGCCUAAUCUAGAUAAAAAUGUUAAAACCAGGGCGAGACUCGACCCGCUCAUAUUAAUUUUUAUAUUAUUUUUUAAAUACUUUUAAAAUAUAUAUAUAUAAUACAUCAAAAUAAAUAUUUUCCAACAAAUUGAAAAUAAAUUUUAAAAAAUAUAUAUACUUAAAUAGCACUAAGAUAAAUACAACUUAACAAGUAAAUGCCUCUAAAAUAAUAACAAAAUUAACAAAUGUCUUUAAAAUAAUAACAAAAUUAACAAUAAAAUAAGUUUUAUACAAUAACAACAAAAUAGGAGUAGCAACAUAAUAGUAAAAUGGUCGCAAUAUAGGAAGAAAAUAACAAGGAAAUAAUAUUAAAAAACAAAAAACAUAACAGAUUAUUUUUGUCAUUUAGUGAAUUCGGGCGCCCCGGGCCAAAAUUGCCUUACCUGAGGCCCGGCCCGUUUCUUAAACGGACCUUAUUUUUUUGUCCAAGCCCAUUUUUCGGGCCUAUAUUUUUACCCAAACCCUCCCACAUUUCAGGAGAGCCUUCGGGUUGGGUCGGGUGGCCCGACCCAUGAGAAGGUCUAACCUGACCUCACUAUUUUAUCUUAACUCCAUCGUUCCUAGGACUGACAUUUCGUGCGGGCUCCAGGCCUACUGGACAUGUGUUUCAUUAUGGGUUGCCUACAAACCACGUAAUCUCCAUUCUGUGAGCACCUUGGGCCUUUAGCGAGCACCUUGGGGUAUAUGCGGACUUGGCUUGUGAUCCUUCCUCGGUUUGUGCGAGCUGGACCCACGAGCUAGAUCAGCGGACUCCCUUGUUGUCCUCUCGUGGUUCGCCUCGCACUCGAUCGUUUGGUGGAACCUAUUCAGGUCGCGGGUGACAAACACGGGUCUUAUUUAGGGCUCGGGUUGGUUAUUACUGAUGUAUAACAAAACUAAUGGUAAUUUUUUUAAGAGAGUAUUUUUUAAAUGAGAUAAUUUUUUAAAAUAUUAGUUUAAGUUAUUUUAUUUAAGCAUAAUGAUAAAUUUAACCCUCGAUAUUUACAUAGUUUGAGUUACAUGUUAGUAAUAUACUUUUUUAUGAAAGAAUAUGUAAUAGUUAUCAUGAAAUAAAAUAAAAUAAUAUUAAGUGAACGAAAUUAAUUUAAAGAGAUAAAAUAUAUCUUAUGAAGGUAACACACUAAUAACAAGGUCAUUAGACCAGCAUAAUUAUAAGUUGUUUUUGUAAUAGUAUAUAAUAAAGGAGAGUUCGAUGAUGGUACUUUUAAUGGAUUGACUUCAUGACUAAAUAAUAUUGUAAUUAAUAAAAGAAAAGUUAGAACUUAAUUACAAAUUAUUUGAGCCCUAGUCAUAUAUAUGUUCAAUCGAUCCUUUCAUUAGCUCAACACAAUCCUAUACAAAUCGAUACGUUGAAUAAAUGAAAACGACGAAUAGAGAAAUAUAUUGCAUGUAUCACUAUCUGCAAUGAAUGUAUUUUUUCGCAAAUAAAAAAUAAAAAAUGAUUUAGUAAUUAAUUUAAUUUCUUUGAAGGGUUAUAUAAUUGAAGUUCAAAAUGAAUUUUUUUUCUUAUUUAAAUAAAUUUUCUUGAUUUUUCCUCAUUUAAUUAAUUUUAUGCUUUCAUUACUUUCUUCCCCCCCGUUUCUCCUCUCCUUUAAUCUUUUCUCAUUUAAAAAUUUGACCUAACUCCAAAAUUCGUACAGUGAUUGUCUAGUUACAACAAUACGGAUUUUUAUAAAAUAUUUAAAAAUCAAUCUUAAUUUAAAACAAGUAAUCAAAAUUAAAAAAACUCUCACUAAACCACAAAUUCAAAAUAAUAAAAUCUACAACUUUUUUAUUUUUCAGUGACUAAUUCUUAUAUUUCAUGUCAUUUACUUUAAUUAUAUUCCCUUAAAUAUUUGUUGUUUUUUGGCCUAAAUUUGUAACAUAUUUCCUCAAAUUGGUAUAUUUAGUAGAGGACAAGAUGUGAGGAAAAUAAUUGCUUAAAACAAAUGUUGUCACUUCUAUUAAAUUUUACAUGAUUUUUCUAGUUAUUUGUCAUUUCAUUUCAUUUUUCAUAUUUAUAACAAUUCAUCGUAAUAAUUAUUAAAUAUUAAAUAAGUUGUAACUUGAUGAUGAUAAUUAAUUUGCAAAUCAAAUAUUUUUAUUAAUUUUAAAAUAAUUUUAAUAAUUUUAUAAUUAUUAUAAUUAUUUGAAAAACUACAUUCAAAUUCAAAUAAUUACUAAACAUUUAAUUUUUUUUUAAGGAUUGCUUUGCCAUGUCAAAUUGAGGUAGCCUACUUGCUCCACCAGUCAUGUCAUCGCUUAAUUGUAGAAUUGGAUGUAAUUUUUAACGAAAUGACCAAUUUUUUGUUUGAUCUAACAUAUAAGGGCUAAUUUGUCUAUUUUUUUAGUAAAGGAGACAAAAUGUCAUCUAAGUCUUAACAUAAGGGCCUCCAUGAUAUUUUUACCCCUAAUAAUAGAAAGGGUAAACAAUAGAAAUAAUCAUUCAACUAUAAGCGUGCUUUUAUUUUGAUCACCCACGUUUAAAAUUUUUUAUUUUAGUCACUAACACUAUCAAAAAAUAAUAUUCUGGUCACUCUUAUGUUAAUCACUAAUGAAAUAUUGUAUGACUUUUUUUAUUAGCAUAAUAACAAAUUUAGCCCUCCAAUAUUUACAGAUUUUAUAUAUUUUGUCUCAUUUCUAAAAUAAAAAAUCAACAAAUUCAACUCUCAACUUUACAUAUUCUAUAUAUUAAUUUAGUCUUGAUUAUUAAAAAAUUAAAAUUAAAAAUUUUAAAAACUUUAAAAACAUUUAAAAAUUUAAUUAUUGAUAAAAAUACAUAACGUUUUAUAAAAAUAUAUACAGAAUUAUACAAAUAUGUAUAAAUAAUUGAAAACCUAUCUUCUCAUGUUCUAACAUUAUAUCUAUUUAUUAAAACAAUAAUUUUAUAAAUAAAAUAAUUUAAGGAAAAAAAAUGAAAAAGACUUAGGUAGAGGUUGGGUUAACAUUAACGACUACCAACUUUAUAUUAGGUCAAAAAUUACAGCAUGAGGUAGAAAAGAGUAAGAAUUGAUGUUUUUAAAUUGUUGUUCAUAACAAGUUAAUUUGUUGCAUUUGAAGUUGUGCUUGCAAGCAAAAUUGGAAAUAUAUAAGUGAGGAUGUAUUGGAGACCUAGCUAAUAGGUGAAAGGCCAUGUUGAUAGUUCCACAACCGAUUUAUAGUUUGAUGACAUGAAAAUCGAGAAAUUCAAAAUAAGGGUAAAAUUGGUGCCAUUGGUUGUGGGCGAAGGUGAUGCCUAGCGCUCGACAGAUUUGACGAGGACUAAGGAAUAAAGGCAAACACAUGAUAAAUAAAUUGUUAUUAUUAUUAUUAUUAUUAUUAUUAUUAUUAUUUUGAAAAUUGUUGAGAGGAAACAAAGGGAGCCUAAUUAACCCACUAUUUUCGCGGGCAUUCCGCUUCCCAUUUCCUUUCCCGUGGCCGACUCUUUCUCUUAGUGUAUUAAUUGCUUGGCUCACAACUCCCCUCUUCCCCUUUUUAUCUCUCAUUUGUUUUUGCUUUGAAUAUAUAAUCUCUAAAUUUUACACUAUUAAACCAACUAGAAAGGAAGGAAGAAAAAACUCUUAAUUCCAGCGUUAGCUAAAAGCUGGAAUUCUCUGUUAUAUGUAUAUAAAUACAAAAGAAAUAAAGCAGCAUCAUUCUGCCAUUGCUUAAUGCAGAAACAAUCAAUAACGACUUUUAAAGCUCUCUUCUUUGCUUCAGAUCUUUCCAUUUUUGUUUUCAGGUAUAUUUCUUUUGUUUCCGAGUUAGAUUUCUUUGUUUUGUUGUUGAUCUAGUGUAAUAAGAGUCUUGAACUUGUAUCGGCUUAUCUCUUCCAUCUGUGUUGAGCUAAAUUUUGAACAAUUUUUUAUAUGAUAUCAAUUGUUGUUUAUUGGUUCAAAAUUAUUAUGUUUAUUUAGAAAAAAAUUAUUUUAAAAUGUGAUAACGGUUUCUUUCUUGUUUUCCAAGGCAUAGAUUGUUUUCCUAGAUCUUGAUGUUCGAACAAUAUAAUUCUGGCAAUUUCAAUUAUAUGAUCCGUUGCUUUAUUCACACACACACACAUAUAUAUAUGAAGAGGGGUAUACCUGCACUUGUAUAAAUUUAGAUUUAAUAUUUUUUAGUGUAUGCGAGUAAAACUUAAUUUAGUUUUACUAUAAGUGGAUUUAUUUGAAUUCUUAGAUAUGUUGCAUUUUUCAAUGAUGUAUUAGCCUAGUUAUGAUGUUUGUUUUCAUAAACAUUUCAGGUUUGUAUUUUUGAAGAUUUGAUUGGAAAAGGAAGGAAAUAGUUACCAUGGCUUUAGGAAGAUACAAUAGGGUAGAUAAUAAUAACAAUAAGUCUUCGAGUUAUUGUUCCACCGUCACCAUUGUGAUUUUCAUGGGAUUAUGUUUGGUUGGGAUUUGGAUGAUAACUUCGUCCUGGGUUGUCCCGGUCCAAAACGGGGAUGAUCCGGCUGAAGAAAAGAAAAAUCAGCUCAAGGAUCAGGUUGAGACGGUAAUCGUGGAUAGCAAUGACAGAGACAAUAAGCCGCAGUUUGAAGAUAAGCCUAAUGAUCUACGUAAAGAUGGCCCGGAAAAGAAUUUAGACGUGAGUCUGGCUAAAGAUAAGGGCAAAGCCAACUUAGCUGCAGAAGAAAAUCAGGAGAAAACUGAAGAGGCUAAGUGGGACAAGUCUAAGAAGGAUAAUCAGCAAUUCAAUUCUGUAGGUGGAGAGAAAAACGUUUACAACAGUGAGAAUCUGGGUGGACAAGGGUCUGAAAACAACAAUGAGAAACCUCAUUCUAUUAAGGAUGACAAGAAAUCUGGUUCUGAUUAUGCUGAAAAGAAAGGAGAUGAAAGCACUUCCAGGACUUACGGGGAUAAGGUUGAUAAAAAUGAUGACAAGGUGUCGGAUAAACGCUCAGCUGAUCAGGUGAAAGGGAAGAGUUCAAAUGAAGAUUCCCCAAAAGGAGAUAAGGUGUUUGAUAAAAGCUUUGUUGAUCAGGUGAAAAAGAGCUCAAAUGAAGUUUUCCCUAAAGGGGAUAAGGUUGACAAAAAUAAUGACAAUGGGUUCGAUAAAAGCUCUGAUAGUCAAGUGAAAAAGAGUUCAAAUGAAGAUGCCCCAAAAGGAGAUAAGGUGUUUGAUAAAAGCUUUGAUGAUCAGGUGAAAAAGAGAUCAAAUGAAGUUUUCCCUAAAGGGGAUAAGGUUGACAAAAAUAAUGGCAAUGUGUUCGAUAAAAGCUCUGAUAGUCAAGUGAAAAAGAGCUCAAAUGAAGUUUUCCCAUCUGUUGCUCAAUCUGAGCUUUUGAAUGAAACCAUGAUUCAGAAUGGAUCAUUCACUACUCAAGCGGCAGAAUCAAAUAAAGAAAAAAAUGCUGAGUCAUCAUCAAACUCAUCAUCAAAGGAUUACAGUUGGAAGCUUUGCAAUUCCACUGCCGGGCCUGAUUUUAUCCCAUGCCUUGACAAUUGUGAAGCCAUCAGGAAUCUUCCUACUAAUAUACAUUAUGAGCAUCGAGAAAGGCACUGUCCAGAAGUGCCACCAACCUGCCUUGUUCCUCUUCCUGAAGGAUACAAAUUCCCAAUAGAGUGGCCGAAAAGUAGGGACAAGGUACUUGAACUUAACAUGUGCUGGUUUAAGUUUUCACUUUGGUUUGUGCCUGAUAAGAUGAAUUAACAAAAGCUUUCCUCCUUCAGAUUUGGUACAAAAAUGUUCCCCACUCCAAACUAGUAGAAUUUAAGGGGGGUCAGAAUUGGUUGAAAAUUACUGGGGAUUACUUAACAUUUCCUGGUGGUGGAACCCAGUUUAGGAGAGGUGCACUUCAUUAUAUCGACUUUAUACAAAAGGUGAGUGCUCGAAGUGAACGUAUAUCUUUGAAUUUCUUUAUUAUAUCAUAUAAUUUAUUACUGUGUCUCACUCCUUCCGGUGUGGUCACUACUUGUUGAAUAUUCAUUCUUGUCUUUCUAUUUGUUAACUAUUAUUACAGUGGUAAACUUAUACAUAUAACACAUGAUAAAAGCUUUGAUAUGAAUGUCAUUUGAUCUGAAGCUAUAGCUUAAAAUGACAUUUCAGUACCUUACAGUGAAACACAAUAGCUAUUGUUAUCAGUUCCUUUGAUUUCCAUUAUGAGCCAACCGUGAUUGUUUUGAUAGUAAUGAAUUCUACGAAAACAACAUAUAUCAUCCAUGUCAAUAUUAUGCUUACCUAUUAUGCAUUGGCUUAAAAUUUGUGUUACAACCAAACUGUUCAUUAAGGCCUAUUGAGAUUUUAAUGAGUGCAUAUUUCCUAAUAAGUUAAUACUUCCUGUAAUUACAAGUUGUAGAAAAAGCCUAUCUACCGUAAAAGAAGCAAUUUAGUGGAUUUUAACUUAGAAAUUAACCCUAUAGGCAGCUAGCAGAGGCAAACAUAAUGAGUACUUCCAAGCAGAUUUUUAUUUUAAUAGGUAUGUUAAACCUACAAUUUUACAGUCCAUGAAAGAGGUCAUGAGCUUAUACUUGAAGCCUUUCCUGGAUGUGAAAUUUUUUGUUUUUAUUGGAGCAUUUCUUCCAAUAAGUUGAAAUUGAUUCAUCAAAUCUUCAUUUUUAAUUGCUCAUUAAUUCUAGUAGGGAUUGGAGUAUUCAUGAAUAAGUUUUAAUUAACAGGCAUGCUCGUAAGGAGCGUCAAGAAGUUCAUAGUAUCUCAAUUCUGGACACAUGUUGAUAUAUUUUUUAAUGUAUGCUUAUGUGUGCAUAUGAUAUAUCUUUUUCAUUUCUCUCGAGGCGCUCAUCCGCAACUUUGAUUGCGUGAAUCUUUCUACAAAUAUUUUAUGCUUUAAAAGAAUGUUUGUUUACCACGUGUGGAAUUACCUGUUGCAUUCCGAUAAUGAUGACAAUAAGCAAAAAAUUACUUUUAUUCAUGGUCAAUUUUCCUCUCCUGUAUGUUAUAUCAACUUGCGCUUGGUGUUUGAUUAUUCAUGCAGGCUGUACCUGAUAUAGCAUGGGGAAAACGCUCUCGUGUAAUAUUGGACGUCGGAUGUGGGGUUGCCAGCUUUGGAGGUUAUCUUUUUGAAAGAAAUGUGCUGGCCAUGUCCCUAGCACCAAAAGAUGAACAUGAAGCUCAAGUACAAUUUGCACUUGAAAGGGGCAUUCCUGCUGUGUCUGCUGUGAUGGGUACUAAAAGACUUCCCUACCCUGGCACUGUAUUUGAUAUUAUUCAUUGUGCACGAUGUAGAGUGCCAUGGCACAUAGAAGGUAUAUUACAACCUACUUCACAAAAUUUUAAUUAUGAGCUUAUCAUGCCAUGCACUUUAUGGGAUUGGCUGUGCUUGAAUAUUUGUUGGUCUUAGCAAUAUGCAGGUGGUAAACUCCUCUUGGAGCUCAAUCGUUUGCUGCGACCCGGUGGUUUCUUUUUGUGGUCUGCUACUCCUGUUUAUCAGUUAAAAGCUCAAGAUGUUGAAAUCUGGAAGGGUAUAUAAUUCGAUUGUACCGUCUUUGGCCUUGUAUGAGAACUAUUUUGUGUCUUACUGCUGCUUAAUUUAUGUGUGGAUUUUGUGCAGCUAUGAUUGAACAAACAAAAGCUAUGUGCUGGGAGCUUGUAAACAAAACUUCUAAAGAACCAAUAAAUAAGGUGGCCAUAGCAACAUUUAGAAAGCCUACAUCUAAUGAGUGCUAUGAGCAAAGGUCACAACAAGAACCUCCACUAUGUCCCGAGUCCGAUGAUCCAAACGCGGCUUGGUAAUACUUUUUUUCCCUCUAACUUGGAUGUAAAAACUAUAUUCCGGCUAAAACUAUUCUAGCACUACUUUAUAUGAUGACACCAGAAAUAUCCACUGAACAGUAAACAAGAUAACAUGCAUUCUUUGAGUAAGCUACGGAAAUACUCUUUUUCUAAACUCAGCACAACUAUCUGAUUGACCUGUAGGAACAAAACGCAUAUUACUUAUCCAAAGAAUCUCGUUGCUCUUUCCACUGGUACUUUAGAAUAAAUAUGGAUCUCUUGCAAUAUAGCUAUCCAAAGAGCCAUUCGUUUUGUUUCUUAUCGACAGGAAUGUGCCACUUCAAACAUGCAUGCACAAAGUGCCUCUAGAUCCAUCAGAACGUGGGUCUAAGUGGCCUGAGGAAUGGCCAGCAAGGUUGGAAAAAUCACCUUACUGGUUGUUGAGUUCCCAAGUUGGAGUUUAUGGCAAAGCAGCACCAGAAGAUCUUGCUGCAGACAAUGAGCAUUGGAAACAGGUGGUAACCAAGUCAUACAUGCAAGGAAUGGGAAUAAAUUGGUCAUCAGUCAGAAAUGUCAUGGACAUGAAAGCUGUUUAUGGAGGGUAAGCAACAAUUUCCAUUUUCUCUAUGAAGUAGGAAGGAAAUAACGGUUUGACAGGCUUCCCUUUUAGUUAUUCUGACUGUGGUAUGCGCACAGAUUUGCUGCGGCACUCAAAGAUAUGAAUUUAUGGGUCAUGAAUGUGAUCCCAGUUGACUCUCCAGAUACACUUCCCAUAAUUUAUGAAAGAGGUCUGUUUGGCAUAUAUCAUGAUUGGUGUGAAUCAUUUAGCACCUAUCCAAGAUCUUACGAUCUUCUCCAUGCCGACCAUAUAUUCUCCAGGGUUAAAAAGAGGUUUGUAUUUUUCAUAUUUCUUUGAGUCAUAGUUCCAUAACCUGUUCUUUUAAUAAAUAAAAAUUCCAUUUACCUUUUCAUCAUGUAUGGUUUAGAACCAGAAUCCCUGUUUCCAGUGUAAGCCAUAAUAUGCUAUUAAUCAUCUGCUUCACCCUUUAACUUUGCCAUUGUUUACGAGCACGUAGGUGCAAUUUCGUGGCUGUGGUUGCCGAGGUGGAUCGUAUUUUAAGACCGGGAGGAAAGCUUAUUGCUCGGGAUGAUGUCGAAACCAUUACCGAGCUGGAGAAUAUGGUACGGUCCAUGCAUUGGGAAGUCCGGUUGAGUUACUCUAAGGACAAGGAAGGCUUGCUGUGUGUCCAGAAAUCCAUGUGGCGACCUACAGAGGUGGAGACGCUCACAUAUGCCAUUGCUUAGGCAUGCUAUCUCCUAUCAUCACAUUCUCACUUUUGCCACAUUUUGCAAUUUUUGGGGAUUAGUUCUCUAUGUUAUAGCCUUUGUAGGCUUGUAUCAUGUAGGCCUUUAGUUUAUUAUUAUUAUUAUUAUUUAUUUUAUUUUAUUCCUUUAAACUCUGAGCUUGGCGUUUCCAAGUUUUCCUGUAAUAUCAUACUGUGAGUUCUUCAAUGGAAAAUAAUGUUCAGGCAUUAUGGCUGGAACAUUUAUAGAAACUAAAGCUGGCAAUAAUGUUACAAAAACCACUACUAAUUAAAGAUAUUAAAAUAUACGAUCAAUUAAAUGAUAAAAAGCAAUACAAAUACAAAAUCUUUGAAAUUUCAGUACUGGAAAAUUUUAAGCUUAAAUUCAAGAGCUUAUAAGAAACAAGAACGAAAAUGGAAAUAUGAUUCAUUGUUACAAUGUUUAACCACCAUAUAUUAUGAACAGCGUUAAAAAAAGAGAUUAUAAAAGAAAUUAUUAUUAUUAUUAUUAUUAUUAUCUUUUUACGAUUUUCUUUAGUCGCUCUUUCCUUUCUUUAUAUUUAGUCUUUUAAAUUAUUUUUAUAACACUUCAUAAGUCCAUUUCUUGCAUUGCCAUAUGUCUCAGCUAAGGUAGGGUAUAACCAUUGUCCCCCUUCAAUCGAGUGGUUUAGGGUAGCGGCCUUAAAGACACCCACGGAUAACACUUCAUUUGGUACCAUCUGACUGGUCAUUCAAUGAUCAACCACCCGCAUGCUUCAUAUACCGCAUAUAGGAAGGCCACUUGUCUUUGGCACUAGCUGGCCCCUCUAUUAGGACACCCACUUUUAGCGAACCCUCCAUUAUGCUACUCGCUUAUAGCAACAUGUUCUUAUCUUUAGAAGGGGACCAUUAAGACUUAACAACUUUGUACUACUUCAGCGAAUGAAAUGUCAAAAUAGGCUCACGCAGUACCACACUUGAUGACAAUUAACGUAUAACAAACUUGCCACCUAGCCGGCCAUACCAAUUGGCCACCAUUCGUACUGUAAAUGACAUGGUAUACUAUCAAGCAAGGAGACCUUCCCCUUAUAUACACCUCAACCCAGAGGUUCACCUUUAUUAUACUACCUUAAACCCUAACACUUUAUAGCCUCUUCUCCUUAUCUACUUACUCCUUCCUUCCUACUUCGAUUUUUAACCUAUAAUAGGUGAACUGACUUUCUAAUCACCAUCAUCAUUUCCUCCCUAUCUUCUCCUUAAAUAUUAGUAUCAAUAAGAGGUAUACAUGUAAAAAAAAAUAUUGACGUAUUUAUAAUAUUAUUGUUGUUAAUUAUAAUUAUCUUUUUUUAUAAAAUAAUUUGUUUUCCAUAUUACAAUUUAUAAGAUUAUUUUAAAUUACUUUUAUUGUUUUUUUAUAAUAAAUUUUUUUAUCGUAUAAUUGUUUUUCAUAAAUUUGUUUGUUAAUACAAAUUUUUAUAAUAAAAAUAUUACCAUAUUUAUUUACUAUAAUUUUUUUAAUGAAAAAUUUUCAAAUUUAAGAAUAAAACAUAUAUUUUAUAUUAUGAAUUAUCGAUUAUAUAUACCUCUAAUAUGUAUUAUCAAUUUUUUAGCUUAAGAAUAUAUUUACAUUUGUUUUUAUUCUUUAAAAUAUAAUUACAUGGACAAUCAUUAUUAAUCUAUGCAUUACACGAGUAUGCAAACUAAUUAUUAAUACAUUUUGUAUUUUUUUAAUAUGAAUAUUAUAAAAAUCAAAUAUAAUCUAAAUCAUAUAGGCGAUAUAACUACUACCUAUUUAUAAUAUUCAGAAUUUUAACAGAUAAAUAGAAUUAUUAUAUAAAAGAUUGACUUUAUUAUUAUUUCCUUCUUCCAUUGUAUUAACUUCACAAACCUUUAAAAAAAAACCUAAAAAAUUCACUAAAAAGAACAAUUUAAAAAUCAUAAUGACAAAAAAAAAAAACACAAAAAUUCACACCCAGAUUGAUUUUGCAAUCGUUGAUGAUUGGUUGUGGUUGAUUUAAAUAUUGGAUUUUCUUGGUAGAGAGGUCGAGGUUAUUUUCGCUAUAAUUUUUUUUCUAAUUUUUUAGUAGUAUAUUUGAAUGAGAAAUUUUAACAUUUUGAACAUUUUUAAAAUCCUGAUAUUUCACAAUUCAUCAAUUCAAAAUAUUAACAAUUGUAGUUUUAUUGUUUCAAUAAAUAAUUAUUUUAUAAAUUUUAAGGCUAGCUAUAAAAUUAGUCACAUAUAUUUGAACAAAUUUAUGUUUGGCCACCAAACUUUAAAAUUUUAUUAACGUUAUUAAUUUAUUACGUUAUGAUUACUUAAUCGAUAACCCAACGAUAAUAUGACGUAACCCUAAAUUUUAUCACUUUAUCAAUUUUAAAUCAAAUUGAAAUUUGUAUAGCUAAUAAAAUUUUAACUUUUCCCUUUUAUUCUCUUUAACUUUCUUCCUUUUUCGUAACCCGACCUGCCACCAACGUAGUUUCUAGCUGUUUUCUCCGAUGAUAAUUUUAAAAUCCUCCAUUAUUUUUAUCUAAAUAAGUAAAUUACUUUCUGGAAAUUUGAAUUUUUUUUUUUGAAAGAAAUGACACUCGUUCAAACACAUUCUAAUACAAAAUUAAUAACUUAUAGUUUUCUAAAAGAAAAGGGUGUCCCAAGUUACAUUGAACUUAAAAUUAACUGUUGUCGGAUCCGGAACUUUUAAGGGUAAAAUCCCCUCAGUAACUGCAUUUUCUAAGGUUCAAACUUUUGUUUUUACCUCUAUAGAAGCAACGUUGGUAGCUACCACCUCAACAAUCAACUUGUUUGUAAUAGAUAUCCUGAUAAAUGAAAUAAAUGUAGACAAUACUUGGAAAUAAAUCUAAAUAUUAUAUUUAUGCAUGAUGAGAUUUGAAUAUGAAAUUUUUAUUCAUAAAACUUCAAUCUUACUAAAAAAAAUUAAAAAUAAUUAUUUGGUAUAUUGGCCGUUAAAAGUUUUAAUUUCAAAAGUGAGUUAAAAUUUUACCAUAUAUCUUUAAAUGGUUUUUGAAAAAUAAAAAAUAAAUAAAAACAUGUUCAAAUUUUAAACUGAAAACGAAAAUGUUAGUUAAGGAGAUACGGUCAAGCCUCAUAACAACUUCGCCGGAGCGAGUCCCGGGGACUCAUUCGGUUUAAAAUAAGGCCUUUUUUUUUUCAGGUUCAGCUUCAACAGCCUACUUUUAUGCAAAUGUUUCCAUCUAUUUUCACCCAAAAUAAAAAUCCCAAAACAUCUCAUGCUUCUAUCCAAUUAUUGUCUCUUAAUAAUUUUUUAACCAUUGCAAGAGAUAUUAAUCACUUAAAAAAUAAAAAAUAAAAAAGAGAGAAAGAAAUGGAAGAUGAAAUUAAGCAUGGAAACGUGACACAUGUGCCUAACAAAGGAAGCCCCGAAAGCCCACAUGUAGCAUGUAGUGAUAGCAAUCACAAUCAGAACAACAACAAUAAAGAACAAGACCGUUUCCUUCCCAUAGCAAACGUCAGCCGGAUUCUGAAAAAAGUUAUCCCCAGCAAUGGUAAGAUCUCCAAAGACGCGAAAGAAACGAUUCAAGAAUGCGUGUCGGAAUUCAUCAGCUUCGUGACAGGGGAGGCAUCGGACAAAUGCCAAAGAGAGAAAAGGAAGACCAUCAAUGGAGAUGAUAUCAUAUGGGCAAUCACCACAUUAGGGUUUGAGGAAUACGUAGGACCCUUGAAAUUGUACUUAAGCAAAUAUAGAGAGAUGGAAGGGGAGAAGCUUAUUUUCCCAAAGCAACAAAGAUCGGACCAAAGGCGACAACAUUCGGAAUAUGAACAAAAUAUAGUUUUCAACAACAAUAACAAUAUUAAUAUUAAUACUAAUAGUAAUAACAAUGUAUAUUCUUCAAUAAAUGUUUACCCUUCUUUUGUUCCUUCGGAUCAACCAUUUUCCUUGCCUUUCUCCUCCAAUUCCUUUCAAAAGCAAUUACAGUAGCCAGAUUUGAUUCAGUGGGACAUUGGUAAGAACAGUUGAUUUUUUUUUUCUUCUUUUUUAAUCCACUGCGAUGUUAAAUUAAUUUCAUAUAUACAUUUGUUUACUAUUUGCUUUGUAAUAUAUUACUAACUUUAUAUGUUUUCGAGUAAUUUAAUCAACUCAUCUCUUUAUUUGACCAAAAAAAAAAGAGUUUUUCUUUUCUCUCUUCAAAUGAAUUUGAGUAACGUCAUGUACCAAAAUCAAAUGAUAUGAAAUAUGAUAAUAAGGUAAUUAAUUUUGUUUGUGUAAUCCAAAUGCAGUAGAUCUUAAUUCAUAAAUACAUAUAUAGACUUUGAACUUAUGUGAUGUCCUAAUGGUUAAGGGUGUUCAUCGCUUCAGGUGUGGUCUAAGUUUGAAUCCCGCUAGUCGCGUUGGUUGUUUGGGUUUUGCUUUGUUAUUGUAAUUCAUCAAAAUAAAAUAAUAUAUAGAUCUUUUUUUUGUUAUUAUAAAUUUAUAAUUUAAUUUGAUGUCACAAAUCAAGUACAGGUCUGACCCCUAGGAGUUAUUUGAGAGUGCAGCCGCCUAGGGUUCAGGGUUGGAAAGGGCCCCAAAAAACAUUUUUUCAGCUUUUAACGUGGAAACAAAAUUCAGACUAAAAUAAAUUAAUUAAAUGNNNNNNNNNNNNNNNNNNNNNNNNNNNNNNNNNNNNNNNNNNNNNNNNNNNNNNNNNNNNNNNNNNNNNNNNNNNNNNNNNNUUUAUAAUUUUUUUUAAAAGGGGCACAAAUUAUUGUUUCGCUUAGGGCUCCAAAAAUAUUAAGAACGAGCCUGAUAAAGUAAUACUAUUGAAAAUAUAAUAAUACUAAAUUUGUAAAUUAAAGAAGAGAAUAUAUAUAUAUAAAUAAAAAUAUAAUUAUAUAUAUAGCUUCUCAUCAAUAACUCACUCUUUUUUAAACUAUAAUUAUUUAUAAAAACUAAAUUUUGUACAUAAAUAUUAUAUUCACCCGUGGGUGUCUAAAAAGUAAUUAUUAUGAAAUGUUAUAUAUAAAUAUCUAAAUAUUUUUGUUCCCAUGUGUUUAUCUUAAUAAACUAAGAACUUAACCAUAUGAAUUUCAUCUUUUAAUUUUACAGAAAUAAAAAAAAUUAAUCCCUCAAUUUUAAUGGGUCAAAAAUUGAAAUUUAUUAUGAAAAUUGAGAAUUUAGUCUAAUAUGAUAAAGAUUAUCAUAUUAAACUUUUGCGAUAAAUUAUUGAUCUAUAAAUCACCGGUUUAGAAAUUUAUAUGCGCAAAAUAAAUAAAUAAUAAUAAUUUAUCAAUUUAUAUGUAAUACCCCCUACCCGUAUUCGUCGCCGAAAUAGAGUAUGAGGCAUUACCAGAUUUUACCGAAUUUUUUUUUCAAGAUAGAUUUAUCAUAUUCAUAAGAUAAUUUCAUCACAUACCAAAACCAAAAUUUGUUAGCCAUACCAAUGGCUAACCAUACAUUCAUUUCACAUUAACAUCUAAUUUACUAGCUUAUACAUGCCAUUGAUUUCCAAAAUAAAGUUCCUUUAUGUACCGAGAUCUCGAGAUUGAUAGUGUGAUGUGUCUCCGACCAAAUCCGACCUCCGAGCUCUUAACUCUACAAACAGGGGAAAAAGAAACAGGGUAAGCACUUUGUGCUUAGUAAGUUCAUGCAACAGAAAUUAUACUUACCAUACUUAUACAUCCAUCAUUUAAUAACACAAGCACACAUCCAAUUCACAUAAACAUAUAUCUAUCACAUACAAACUCAACCUCAUACAAAUUCAUUACAAAGAUAAAUGAUUGAUGAGCUCAUCAAUUCCAUGAUUUCCAUUUCCUUGUUAUUUUUCCAUAUUUAUCCCGUUGAACUACUUGGAAUUUCGAUGGAUAUCCAGGGGUACACCUAAGUGUACAAAUCCGGGUCCGUCAAUUCAUAUUCAUGUGCGCACAUUUCCAUUUCAGAGAGCACACUCCCGCGAACCUCAUCCUUACAGCGAGAUUACCAGUCCAGGCUAAAUCCCCUGUAAUAUAAACUCACAGAGUAUUGUCGGGAUUACCAGUCCAGGCUAAAUCCCCUGCAACGACAAUUACUCUAAUGAGCUUGGAUCUGAAUUACCAGUCCAGGCUAAAUUCAGACCCUAAUUCGGAUUACCCGUCCGGGCUAAAUCCAUUUUCCACAUAUUCUUCGGGAGGGCUAUAUCAGGAUAGGAUCACCCGUCCGGGCUAGAUCCUUUUUACCGUCAAUUCCCUUUCAGAGAUCUAUCAAAUUUUCCUUUCAUUCAACCGAGAUUUAUUUCCUCUUUUCAUCCAGAAUAUCAAUACUUCAUCAGUUAUCAUACAAUAAACAUCCAAAUCAUAUUCACCUCAAUAACAAACAUUUCAAGCAUUUAUGAAUAUAAUUCAAGUUACACGAACUUACCUCGACACUUGUUCGUAAAAAAAAUCUACUAAUCCCGAACUUUUUCUUUUCCUCGAUCUUGCUUCGUAUUUAAAUUUUCCGGAU
rnacentral:lncRNA from 1 species